rnacentral:lncRNA from 1 species
GCAACGUGCACCUAUCGCCUGAAGAAAGGGAGAAGGUUUGUCUUCUGCACAAACUGACACUGUUUUCACACACUUGUAUUCUGACUUUUGAAGAGUGCAUUUACAAAAGACAGCAAAAUUUUAAAUUUCUCACAAUGCCUUAUCAUUUAUGGCUGUUUUCGUAUUAUUAUUGUUUUGGGUAAUCCACAAGGACAAGACUAAGCAGUUGAUACAUGUCACGAGACAAACAAUUAUGAUACUCCUAUAUAUGAUGAUAUGUAAUCUGUCUUUCAUAAUUGUUUUUUUUGUAGGCGUUAUCCAUUAGUAGGUCACUGGUAAAUGCUAGAACUGCUGUGUUGAAUAAUAGCAACAGUGCUAGCAAACAUAUAAAGGAUCAGAUAGUGCAGACUCUGACUGAAGCUGGUGGUCGGGUUGAUUAUGUUGAGGUAAUAUUGAAACCUUUUUAAUUCAAGUGUCCUUAGUGUUUUCUGUAAAGCAAUUUAUCUAGUAAUUGAAUUCUCAAAUAGCUCACUGUGAUUUACUUACGUUCCUGUUGCAAUACUGAUGCUGGUUGUGUCCUAGAGAAUCAUUGAAAUCUCCAUGAUGUUAGCUACAGUUUGCAUUUUGAGAUAUCCUAAUAUCAGCAUAAUAAUUUUCACAUUUCUUCUGGAACAUUGUACCACUUGUUAGAUAAACCAUCCGAGUUUAGGUUAUUUAAAAAAAUGCCAUACUGACAAUGGCGGAGCUACAGCAAGGCCGGAUUGGCCAUGGUCCACCCAACAUUUUCAAUUUUGCACGCAAUUAUUUUUUCUGUUGGUCCAUAUAGAACACCAACCGAUAGGCUAUUUCUUCCAUUUUGGCCCGCCCAGCCCGCCCAGAGUUGGGCUUCAAGCUCCGCCACUGCAUACUGAGCAUCUCAAGUACGUCUAGAUACAUCCUUUGAGCGACAAGUAAUAUGAAUCGGACGGAGUAACUUUUUAUGGUCCCUUUUUGUUAUUACACUGCUGCUGGUUGUUUCCUGGAGAACCUUUGAAAUCAACAUGGUAUACUUGUAUAAUUUGUGGCACCACACAGCCCAAUUCAGCAUAAUUAGCUAUUUUAUUUCUUAGAACAGCAUACUGCUGAUAUUGAUAAAAAGAAUAAAACCACAUGGGGCAUCUCAGCUUCUCAAGCAACAUGUUUUUACCGGUCAUAAUAAACUUUUUAUUCGUAUUGAAUGAAUCUGCGAUGACAACGCAGAUUGUGGAGCAGGAAAGUUUGGUACCUGUGGAGACGAUUGACCGCCCUGUUGUCAUUUGUGUCGCCACAUGGAUUGGAAAGGUUAGAUUGAUUGACAAUAUCGAAAUUUAUAUACAAUCCUGAGGAUUUUGCUGUUGCCUUGUAUACGUAUCUCAGGAGUUAUCACCAAUCUGUAUUUUUGUCAAAAAUAAGAGUGAUGUUGUACAAUGUAAGUUUGUAACAACCACAUACAGAGAAGUUGCAAAAUCUUUGAUAAAUGUCUUCAUUUAUUGUUCAAUGAUAGAUAUGUUGCUAUGCCAAAAACAUAUUAAAUGUUUGGACCAGCAGGAUUGAUUCUAGUAGCUUUAUAAAUGAAAGAAAUCCAUUGUCAGGAUACCCAAAUCCUUUAGAACAGUAUUUGAGUGUUGAAGAGGCAGUGAUACUCAUGUGUACCGGCAUUUAUUGUUUGGAUGAUAAAUGUGUUGUUUAAAUUGAAGUCACUAAUUCGUGCCUUCCUGCUAUUCCAAAGAACUAUUAAAUGUUUGGGCCAAUGGAAGGGAUUCUAGCUUAUAAAUGAAAAGAACCCAUUGGAAGGAUACCCAAAUCCUUUAGAACAGUAUCAUGCCAAUCAAUGGCAGUCAUAUUCAAGAUACCUGGUAUAUAUAUAAGGGUGCAAUCUGCUGUAUAUCCAUACAAGAACAAGAAGCAUAGAGCAGCUAGUAUAUGUUUGAAUUCCUGGCNNNNNNNNNNNNNNNNNNNNNNNNNNNNNNNNNNNNNNNNNNNNNNNNNNNNNNNNNNNNNNNNNNNNNNNNNNNNNNNNNNNNNNNNNNNNNNNNNNNNAGCUUAGUUAAUAUAUAUAUAUUUUAAAAUUUCAUUUUAUUUAAAAUAAGUUAUUUAUGUUUAAAUAAUACACAAUGUGUAUUUAAAGGAUGUUCAUCAUAUAUUAACAAAUGUUGAAUAUAGUUAAAAAAUAUUCAGUUUGUGUUUUAGAGUAUUAAGUGUAUACUAAAAAAACCAUUUUAUACAAAAUUAUUUAUCAUAUAUUAAGAACUGUUCAUAGUAUAUUAGAAAAAUGUUCAGCAUAUAUUGAAGAAAUUUUCACAACGUCUUUAGAUAAUGUUCAUGUUGUAUAAAAAGUAGAUUUAUAAAUGUCCAGAAAAACAUAAAAAUAUCAGAAGAAAAACCCGAAAGAGCCAAAAGAAAAAGACGGAGAACGAAAACAAGGACGCGUGGAACCCAUAUUGAAAACAAAACCACGAACAAAUAAAGAAGGAAACAACGCACAACCGAAAAAAAAUCCUUCUAGAACAUUUACAAAACUAUCACGAACGGAAAAGUAGGAAACCGUUACUGUGUUUGAUUGAGGGCGUCUGGCCUUUUGACACCUGCGAGAGUGAAAUGGGAUCGGCCAUUGGCGAUGGAAGCUGUCUUGUCUUCCGUAUUCGUACUUUUGUCUAGUAUUAUAUCUUCUCUUGUUCAUUAACGCGUAUGACUCGUGUAAAGACGGAAAAUAAAAAGGAUAGGCUCGUGUGCUUUCAUAACGGAAUUUAAGUGUAUAGUACCAACUUCAUAUCAUAAUCAAAUAAAACAAACCACUGGAAUCAUAAUACAUGACUUUUUGAGAAGUAACUCUGUUUCAGCUUUGGCUUUCUAGUUCUUAUCUGGAAAUGCAAUGGGCAAUAACAGUUUCAUGCCAUCUUCAGUGUGACUUGAGCAUCUUGCAUGUCGCAAACAGACACAGUUUGAAUUCCAAGCGAGGGUGCCCCAAUUUCCGACGACACACCCGCAACUACUGGUGAUUGCUGCAUUCCUUCGCGAAGAAGUUUUUUUUAGAAAAGCCGUCGCCCCGGCCUCUGCAUCGAAAGAUGCAUGCGACCUUUUAUUUAAACAAAGAUAAAGUUGUUUGAGUCGAGUGCAUUUGAAAAUAGUAAAAGACAUGCAAGACACACAGCGCCAUUCGCGUCACAACCGGCUAUAGUAAUAUAACUAGAUGAUUAGCCACCUAUCGUAUUAAUAUGUCGUCAUCCAAAUCGGUUGAAGAUACCCAGAGCUAUCAUCUCCCAACGGACACACCCAGUAACCAAAGGCUCCCUGGCCUUCACAGGAGUGAGUAAUGACCACGCGCGGAUCAAGACAGUAGCCCGGAAUAAAACCUGCAAAAAAUUGAUAGAGCUAUAUCUGUUAAACAAUAAAUCAUUUCUGCAGUUCCAUGUAGUCCAAAGUAAUGCACAGGUUCCCACACGAGUAAGCUGUGCCAAUUCAAAAUCAACCCGCUGUAGCCACGUCCCAAAGAACAUGUUUAUGCUAGUUGGAGGAGUAAUAUUGAAAGCAAUGUGAAUCGUGCGCCAUAAUAGUUUAGCCAACGGGCAGUCGAGAAAGAGGUGCUUAUUACUUUCCUUAUUGUUACAGAAGCUGCAUCUUAGAUUUCCUUUCCAAUUUCGUUUUGCGAGAUUGUCUUUUGUUAGAAUAACACCUUUGUCGACAAACUAUAUAAAGAUCUUUAUUCUGAGAGGCACUUUGACUUUCCAAAUACGCAUGGAUUUUGGAAUAGGCACCACAUCUAUGAGGUGCAAAUAUAUAGAUUUUACAGUGAAAACUUCAUUAGUUGUCAACUUCCAUCGAAUACUAUCAGGUGAGUCAGAAAGGCUGAUGCUCAUUAACCUUGUGACUAAAUGCAGCCAUUUCACCCAUCUGUCCCCAAUCAGGGAGUGCCGAAACUAAAUGUUUAGAGGUGUCUCAUGCAAUACCGACACAACAGUCGCCUGUCGACAUUGGACGGUAUUGUAUAGCUGCGGAUACUGAAUAGCUAAGGGCGCCUCCCCUAACCAUGUAUCCUCCCAGAAUCUAACUAAUUCACCCUUACCUAGGAUAAACUUAGUCCUUUGGAAAAAUGCAUUUUUAGCCCUCAUCAGACCUUUCCAGAAAGGGGAGUCAGUUGGCCUACAAGUGACUUGCGCUAAAGUCUUGCUUUGUAAGUACUUGUUCUUUAAAAUUUAUACCCACAUGCCUUCUGUUUCCACAGAUAAUAUGAGCAGCCAUUUACUGAGCAAGCAUCUGUUCUUAACCUCUAGAUUCGCAAUUCCUAAACCCCCUUGCUCCCUGGGUCUGCAGAUAAUGUCCCACCUAGUAAGCCUAUACUUGGUUUUGACAUCAUCACUUUGCCAGAAAAAAACAAGCCCGAUAGAAAUCUAAUCUUUUUCGCACCCUAACCGGUAUUUCGAAAAAGGAUAGAAGAAAAAUUGGCAUGCUUGUUAAAACAGAAUUAACAAGUAUCAACCGUCCCCCGUACGAUAAAAGCUUGCCUUUCGAGCAGCUUAGCUUUUUUCCGAAUCGUUCUUUGAUACACUUCCACUCCUUAUUUGUUAGCCUUCGGUGGUGAAUAGGAAUACCUAAAUAGGUAAAUGGUAAACUUCCACUUGCACAACCGAACAGUUGGUUGUAAGUGUCUUGCUCAGCUUUGGCCUUUCCAAAGCAGAAAAAUUCACUUCUGUUGAAAUUUAUCUUCAACCCGGAAAGCUGCUCAAAUAAGCACAACAUGAUUUUUAUGUUUCUGGCCUUGUCUAAAUCAUGUUCCAUGAAAAGAAUCGUAUCAUCUGCAUACGGUAGGAUUGAGACACCUCCAUCCACUAGAUGCGGUAUUAGUCCACCUACGAGAUCUUUCUCACCAGCCCUCCUAAUCAUUAAAGCCAACAUAUCCUCUACAAUGUUAAAAAGAAUAGGAGACAUAGGAUCCCCCUGUCUGAGACCCUUCAGUGUCUGGAAGAAGUGUCCGACAUCAUCAUUCACUUUGUCCUUCACGAAGAAGUAACCAUCCCCCAAUUAAGCAUUUUUGGACUCGAAGCUGUGAUUUUAGUGGCUACUUGUUACAUACUGCUUCCCGUAAUACUUGUACUAAGACUCAAAGUGUGUUUGCAUUCUGCAUAGUUGAUGAUGAUCGUGAACACUUGUAUUGUGUUCCUGUUGAUUGCUUAUGUACUGUUAGAAUAAAACGCUAAUGCAAGAUCAUAGACGACAUACCGAGACACGAUAUUUGUUAACAAGGUUCACCGGUAUGGCUACAUCCCGGGGACAUGACUACGGGCACUCCUCCCCAAGAUACCGCAACACCGGCCGCCCGGGCGUCGGCACAAGUCGCCGGCUCCCCCGCGUACCUAUUGCUAUCCGGUCGUCAUGAGUUACAACGUGUGGUGCCCCUCGAUAUAUAAGAGGCCUAGGAUACAACGUGUCCUANNNNGACGCCUAGGAUACAACGUGUCCUACACGACUCGUACCUAUCCACACCAAUUACAACUCCAAGUCCACGUAACCCCUUGCGUACAUAAUAUUCGACACAAAUAUAACAAACUUCACGUUGGCGAAUAUUCUGCACCACCUAGAAGUUGUCCAUGCAUCGAGCCUCCAUGCAUGUACUCCGGACUUGGGUUGUCUUCUUUGUAGCUUACUUAGAGCUACCCGACGGGUCUAACUUGCCGCCACCAUGAGACUCCACUGCUACUCCUGCAGCUCCACUGUUCAUGACUCCACCUGCAAUAGUGCUUCCUUGCAACUUGUAAAGAUGCGAAGCCGUCCUCUCUCCUAUCAUCACGAUCAUCCCAUCUUCUAUGAUUUCCAUGGUCUUCUUAUCCCGAUCACAACGGAAUUCCGUACCGUCACCAUGAAGAACACCAAACGAAAUUAGAUUCCUCCUUAGCCCUGGUGUUGGGGAACGUCGCAUGGGAAACAAAAAAUUUCCUACGCGCACGAAGACCUAUCAUGGUGAUGUCCAUCUACGAGAGGGGAUGAGUGAUCUACGUACCCUUGUAGAUCGUACAGCAGAAGCGUUAGUGAACGCGGUUGAUGUAGUGGAACGUCCUCACGUCCCUCGAUCCGCCCCGCGAACAAUCCCGCGAUCAGUCCCACGAUCUAGUACCGAACGGACGGCACCUCCGCGUUCAGCACACGUGCAGCUCAACGAUGAUCCUCUCCNNNNNNNNNNNNNNNNNNNNNNNNNNNNNNNNNNNNNNNNNNNNNNNNNNNNNNNNNNNNNNNNNNNNNNNNNNNNNNNNNNNNNNNNNNNNNNNNNNNNUGAGUCUUACUCAAAUUCACACCUCACAACGCAACCAAGAACUCCUUUUUUGCUGAUCUAUUUUGAACUCCUUCAAAAACUUGUCAAGGCAUGCAUCUUAUUGAAACUUCCAUUAAGUGCUUUCGAUCUAUCCCCAUAGAUCUUUGAUGCUCAACGUUCAAGUAGCGCAAUCGAGGUACUCCUUUGAAAACUCCUUUCAAACAACCUUGUAUGCUUUACAGAAAUUCUACAUUACUUCUGAUCCACAAUAUGUCAACCACAUAUACUUAUCAGAAAUUCUAUAGUGCUCCCACUCACUUCUUUGGAAAUACAAGUUUCUCAUAAACCUUGUACAAACCCAAAAACCUUGAUCAUCUCAUCAAAGUGUAUAUUCCAACUCCGAGAUGCUUGCACCAGUCCAUUGAAGGAUCGCUGGAGCUUGCAUACUUGCUAGUAUCUUUGGGAUCGACAAAACCUCAUGGUUGUAUCUCAUACAAUGUUUGCUCAAGGAAACCGUCGAGGAAACAAUGUUUUGACAUCCUACAUGCAAUAUUUCAUAAAUAAUGCAGCAACUACUAACAUAAUUCUAACAGACUUUUAGCAUCGCUACGAGUGAGAAAGUCUCAUCAUAGUCAACUUGUUUGAUCUUGUCAGAAACAUCUUUGCGACAAGUCGAGCUUUUAAUAAUAGUGACUUAUCACUAUCAUCGUCUGUCUUGCUUUUAAAGAUCCAUCUUUACUCAAUAGUCUUAUGACCAUCAAGUAGUUCUUCCAAAGCCUACACUUUGUUUUCAUACAUGGAUCCUCUCUCGGAUUUCAUGGCCUCCAGCCAUUUGUCGGAAUCCGGGCCCACCAUUGCUUUCUCCAUAACUCGUAGGUUCACUGUUGCUCAACAACAUGACCUCCAAGACAGGGUUACCGUACCACUCUGUAGUAGUACGCGACCUUGUCAACCUACGAUGUUUGUAGUAACUUGAUCCGAUGCUCAAUGAUCACCAUCAUCAGCUUCCACUUCAAUUGCUGUAGGCGCCACAGGAACAACUUCCUGCGCCCUGCUACACACUGGUUAAAGUGAUGGUUCGAUAACCUCAUCAAGUUCUACCACCCUCCUACUCAAUUCUUUCGAGAGAAACUUUUCCUCGAGAAAGGAUCCGUUUCUAGAAACAAACACUUUGCUUUCGGAUCUGAGAUAGGAGAUGUACCCAACUGUUUUGGAUAUCCUAUGAAGAUGCAUUUAUCCGCUUUGGGUUCGAGCUUAUCAGACUGAAACCUUUUCACAUAAGUGUCGAAACCCCAAACUUUCAAGAAACGACAGUUUAGAUUUCUCUAAACCUUAGUCUAUACUGUGCCAUCUCAACGGAAAUAUGUGGUGCCCUAUUUAAAGUGAAUGUGGUUGUCUCUAAUGCUUAACCCAUAAACGAUAGUGGUAAUUCGAUAAGAGACAUCAUAGCAUGCACCAUACCAAAUAGUGUGUGGCUAUGACGUUCAGACACAUCAUCACACUAUGAUGUUCUAGGUGGCAUGAACUGCGAAACAAUUUCCACAUUGUCUUAACUGCGUACCAAAACUCAUAACUCAGAUAUUCAUUUCCAUGAUCAUAUCGUAGACAGUUUAUCCUCUUGUUACGACGAACUUCACUCUGAAACGGAAUUGAACUUUUCAACAUUUCAGACUUGUGAUUCAUUAAGUAAAUACUCCUGUAUCUACUCAAAUCGUCAGUGAAGUAAGAACAUAAUGAUAUCCACUACGUGCCUCAGCACCCAUUGGACUGCAUACAUCAAAAUGUAUCACUUCCAACAAGUUACUAUCUUGUUUCAUCUGAAUGAAAACAAGGCCUUGGUCAUGUGGUGUGAUUUGCAUGUCACUAGUGAUUCAAAAUCAAGUGAGUAUAAAGAUCCAUCAGCAUGGAGCCUCUUCAUGCAAUUUAUACCAACAUGACUCAAGCGGCAGUGCCACAAGUAAGUGGUACUAUCAUCAUUACCUCGUAUCUUUUGGCACCAAUAUCAUGAACAUGUGUAACACUACAAUCGAGAUUCAAUAAACCAUUGAAGGUGAUUAUUCAAGGAAAUAGAGUAACCAUUAUUCUCUUUAAAUGAAUAAUCGUAUUGCAAUAAACACGAUCCAAUCAUGUUCAUGCUUAACGCAAGCACCAAAUAAGAAUUAUUUAGGUUUAACACCAAUCCCGAUGGUAGAGGGAGCGUGCGCCGUUUGAUCAUAUCAACCUUGGAAACACUUCCAACACGUAUCAUCACCUCGCCUUUAGCUAGUCUCCAUUUAUGUCGUAGCUUUCAUUCCGUGUUACUAAUCGCUUAGCAACUGAACCGGUAUCCAAUACCCUCGUGCUACUAGGAGUACUAGUAAAGUACACAUCAACAUCNNNNNNNNNNNNNNNNNNNNNNNNNNNNNNNNNNNNNNNNNNNNNNNNNNNNNNNNNNNNNNNNNNNNNNNNNNNNNNNNNNNNNNNNNNNNNNNNNNNNCUGCACACUUAAGGUUCGACGUUGUUUUAUGCGUAUUUGAGUUAUAUAGUUGGUUAACGAAUGUUGUUCAGAGUCCCGGAUGAGAUCAGGAACGUCAUGAGGGUUUCCGUAAUGGUCCGGAAUCAAAGAUUGAUAUAUAGGAUGACUUCAUUUGGUCACCGGAAGGUUUUCGGGCAUUACCGGUAAUGUACCGGGAAUGACGAAUGGGUUCCGGAUCUUCACCGAGAGGGGGGACCACCCACCCGGGAGGGCCCAAGGACCUUGGGGGUGGCGCACCAAGUAGGUGGGGUCAGCCCAAGGCUGUCUUGCGCAAGAGAAAGAAAAAACCAAAAGAAGAGAAAGAAAAAAAAAAGGAAAGGUGGGAAAAGAGAGAAGGACUCCACCUUCCAAUCCUAGUUGGACUAGGAUUGGAGGAGGACUCCUCCUCCCCUUGGUGGCGCGGCCCUUGGGGCUCCUUGAGCCUCAAGGAAAGCCUCCCCUCCCUCCUCCUAUAUAUAUGGAGCAAUUAGGGCUGAUUUUAGACAACUUUUUCAAGGCAGCCCGACCACAUACCUCCACGGUUUUACCUCUAGAUCGCGUCUCUGCGGAGCUCGGGCGGAGCCCUGCCGAGAUUAGAUCAUCACCAACCUCCGGAGCGCCGUCACGCUGCCGGUUAACUCAUCUACCUCUCCGUCUCUGCUCCGGAGCACCGUCACGCUGCCGGAGAACUCAUCUACCUCUCCGUCUCUCUUGCUGGAUCAAGAAGGCUGAGAUCAUCGUCGAGCUGUACGUGUGCUGAACGCGGAGGUGCCGUCCGUUCGGCACUACAUCGUGGGACGGAUCGCGGGACGGUUCGCGGGGAGGAUCGAGGAACGUGAGGACGUUCCACUACAUCAACCGCGUUCACUAACACUUAUGCUGUGCGAUCUACAAGGUACGUAGAUCGGAAAUCCCCUCUCGUAGAUGGACAUCACCAUGAUAGGUCUUCGUGCGCGUACAUGAACCUAGCUCAUGAUGCCACUGUUGGGGAACGUCCCAUGGGAAACAAAAAAUUUCCUACGCGCACGAAGACCUAUCAUGGNNNNNNNNNNNNNNNNNNNNNNNNNNNNNNNNNNNNNNNNNNNNNNNNNNNNNNNNNNNNNNNNNNNNNNNNNNNNNNNNNNNNNNNNNNNNNNNNNNNNGUGUGUGUGUGUGUGUCAGUAACUUAUCAAUUACACUUAUAAGUGAAUGGACACAACAGAGUAAAGACCCUCACCUGAAGUUGUAUGGAAACAGUAUGUGGUCACAGAAAUUUUGAUCUAUUAGAAACCUUAGAAGGUUUUCCUCCGUCUCCUUGGGUUUAUCAGUUAGCGUCGCUAUAUGUAUUUUAUCUGGGUCAAUAAACCCAAUAUUUAGGAUGUUCUUACUUUUACAAUCCAGAAUCUUCAUUCUGCAUAAUAGAGUACAAGUUAUAUAUAGACAAUGAAUUGAAAUAACUAAACAAGUUAUAUGUAGACAACGAAUUGAAAAACUUACAGACAAUAGCAACUCAUAAGCGAUUUGUCCAGGGCGUCGCCAUUGUACAUCUGGAAGAGUUCAUCAAAGUCGAUAUGGAUUUCUUCAGGGUGGUCGUAGUACUCCCGUGGGACACUCAGCACGAUCAUCGUUCUCCCAUUCUUUGAUUCACUUAAGUACCAUUGAUGCAAGUAAUACAUAUUUUUUGGGAGAUCAUCUUUGCUGACCAAAGGCUCUCCCAUGACAAACUGUGGCUUAGGGGCUACCACAGCCUUGGGUAUCCUGUCGUCUUGGGAAGCCAACAAAUCUUCAACCGAGACACCACAUUCAGCCGCCCACUCCUUUGCUAUUUCAAAAGUGUGCCCCUGCACCGGAGGGGGAACAUUCUCGGUUAACACCUUGAGGGGUGGGAUCGACUGUUUGGCCUGUUGUCCAAGCUAAGGAACGUCUGAUUUUUUCUUGCUUGUAGUUGAACUUGAUUUGCUCCCGCUUGCACUUGCACGUGAUGUGCUCUUUUUCACUUCCUUCUGCAAUGUGCAUGUAUAGUCAUCAGGCUUAUGGUGUAAGUCAUACUGUGAUGGAAGGGUCAUGAAGUCUUUUGCCCAUGCUAUUUGCUUCUCGGUGUAUUCCGGGCGGGGCUCGGGUUCCUUCUUUUUCAUCUAUGCAUCAUGAUGUUCCUUUGCUAUCCUGGCGUUUUCCUCGGGGGUACGAUCAUAAGGUCUGAUAGGAAGAUUAGCAUGAGGUACCUUUGGGAGGGGCGACAGUUUGCGCUUUGGGGGGCUCCGUCGCUUAGGAAUCGUCGGCGGAGCGUUCUUGGUGGCACGCUUCCGCUUAGUAUCCUAUGCGGGCGGCGGCGGAGACGGACAACCCAAGUCCGGCGGCGGUGAUCGAGAUGGACUCGUGUUGUGCUGGCCGACGUCAUGUGGAGGGCUUGGAGGUAAUGGAGGUGUAGGUGACCUGCGACGACUCGGAGGCGGUGUUGUCCUUGGGGCCGAGCCUGGAAGCUUGAUGUAGUUCUUGUCCCAUAGGAUGACUCCACCCAGUACUUCUCCGAGUGUCCUCUCAUCUUCGGGUCCAGCUAUGUCGAGCUCCAUAUCAUGAAACCCCGCCAUGAUUUCAUCCAUCCCGACUUUAGCAAAGCCAGCUGGAAUCUCACGGCCAUGCCAGCGUGCAUCAGGGCCAGAAGGUAAAGCUUGUCCGACGGCCACCUUCAUGGAUAUGUUCUUGAAUUUCUGAUGGAGUUCACAUGAUGUUGACUCCUUGAUUCCAUCCACGGGGUAGCCGGGACCGCCCUCUAUCAUUCUUCGUGCAUCGUCGGGCGGGGCCUCAGAUUCAGCCAUGCUGCUUUUCCGCUUAGAUGGGGCGCCGGUAAUAUCAAGUGCAGGAUCUUCCUGGCGCGCUACUCCUCUAAGCUCAUCAAUCUGCUUCUGUUGCUCGUUAAUCCUGGCAAGCAACUGGUUGAACUUGUCAUUCUCCUCAUCCUGCUGCCGCUUCUUUGCUCUCGCUCGGCUUCUGUAAGUGUCUUGGUCUCUGGCAAACCCAAGCCACCACGGGUAAGAAGGACCGAAGCCUCGCGUUCGUCCUCCAUGUUCGUCAUUGCCGAGGACCAGUGUGAGCAAAUCUUUCUCUCUAUCUGCAGUGAACUUCCUUUUUCCCUCCUUAAUUUCUUUCACUAUCCUUUUCCAAUUCUCCCUGGGUAUCCUAAGACCGUCACUGCAGAUGAGGUCCCCUGUUUUUUCGUCGUACGACCCACCAUGCGCAAGGAACCAAUUUCUUGCUCUCAAUUCCCACUCAUCACGGAGUGGUUCAGGUACGAUGCCUUUAUCUAGCAGAUCUUGCUCUUUCUUAUCCCACUUUGGGAUGGCAGUCUCAUAGCCCACUGGCCCCAGCUUGUGGUGAUAUUUCUUCUUGUCGGCAUUUAUCUUGUUCUUUUCUGAUAAUGCCUGGGCAUCUUCUGACUCCUUGUACUCUUGAAAUGCCUUCCAGUGAUUCGCCUGCUUGGCUAGAUACCCUCGAAUACUGGCACUUUCUUUGUCUUCAGAUAGUUUUUUCAUAGCUUCUUCUUCCAGCUACGGAAUAGUUCGGCCAUCUUCUUUAGAGUCCACUGCUUGACUUUGGCCCUCAUUUUGUCUGCGGCGUCUUCAUUCUCGCAUUCUGGCAGGUUGAAAUGUGACAUGAGAUCAUUCCAAAGAUUAUCUUUGUACCUUUCGGCGACAUAGUCACUAUCGGCAGCCCCUUUGCGCUUGUUCCACUCCCGAACGCUGAUCGGGGCGUGAUCCCUAACGAGAACUCCGCAUUGCUUCUUGAAUGUGUCAGCAGCAUUCUUAGGAAGCUUGGGUUCACCCGUAGGCAAUAUCACCUCAAAGGUGUAAUGCGUCCAUGCAUCCAACUUUCUAGUCGGGCCUCGUUUCGUAGCUUUGCUCGAUGUGGAGGCCUAAGAGGGAGAAACAUUCGUCAAAUGAAUGUAUAUGUAUACAAUAUAGAGCUAUCUCCAAUAUUUUUCACAUAUUACAAGUGAUUGUCGAACUUCAUAUGUAUACCUCGCCAGACUUUAUUAUUUCUUCACCGGCUUCUCCAUUAGUGGAGCUAUCACCUUCUCCGUCAUUGGACCUAUCUCUUGCCCGAUCGGCUUCAUCUUCGUGUCGCUCGACCUCCAUUCCAACGUCGGGGUUUAGAUAUGACGACGGAGAUUCAGCUGGUUCAACGUCGGGGCCGUCUUUGAUUAUAUCUUCGAGAAGUUCUUCCUCUUCGAGGUUCCUGAUAUGUGGAUCCAUAGUUCUGCAAAAAACGGAUUCUCUUAACCUUUGUACCAAAAAAGAAUUAUUCUAUCAGGAACUCCGUUCCAAAACAACUUUAGUCCCGGGUCGUGGCUCCACCCGGGACUCCUAGAUUUCUGCAUAGUAUUCAAAGUAGGAGUACUUUUCCAAUUUGAGCAUUCAAUAAUCAAAACCAAAUCGUUAGCAUGCAUUCAAUUAUAAGCAAAUACAUCAUCUCUUUUGUCCGUACAUCGUCGAAUAUUAUCACUAAUACUCCUCGAAUACUAUCAUACAUAUAGCAUCACUGAUACAUCUAGAACCGUAGCGCCCGACGGGUAUCGGCGCGGGCGGUGGACACCUAAAGAGAAGGAACCAUCACAGGAUCAUAGCUCCAAUGAGAUCCCCGAAGAACCUGCCAGGUAUGCUCGAACCUGCCCUCCAACGCAACCAUGUAGCGACGGACGUGCUCAUCCUCCUCGCUGACACGGUGAUGUACCACCUCCGCGGUGUCCGGAAGCCUCGGCACCCUCACUGGCCCACGCGACCGCCACCAAACAAGGAUCGGGUGAACGACGGGCUGGCUCCUCACCAACCUACGCCCCCCGGAAGGUAGCACCUCCCAAUACCAGCCGGGCGGAGCCCAGUCCCGGACAGGGCCCCUCUGAUCAAGCAGGUGUCCUCUGCCGAGUCGACGACGAGGAUGCGGGAUAGGCAUCAUAAAAUGAACUAAAAAAUAAACUAGUUCUAUUAAUUUUAUUGCUAAAAAUAAACUAUUAACACUUAAGCAUAUACAAUAGCAAAAUUAAACUAUUAACACUUAAGCAUAUAGAAUAGCAAAAUUAAGCAAUAAUCUAAGAAACACUAUUAACACUUAAGCAUAUACACUAUACAAUAGCAAAAUUAAAUGACAACAAAAAUAUUUCUUCUUCUUGUAACCCUAAACCAAUUUUUCCUCUUCUUCUAUUUCUCCUCUUCUUCUACUUCUUCUUCUACUUCUACUUCUCCUCUUCUUGUAGUACUUCUCCUCUUCUCUUCUUCUACUUCUCCUCUCCUCCUCUUCUAAUUUUUUCUCUUCUUCUACUUCUCCUCUUCAUCUAUUUUUCCUCUUCUUCUCCUCUCCUCCUCUUCUUAUUCUCCUUUUUCUUCUUUUCUUCUCCUCCUCUUCUUAUUUUCAUUUUUCCUAAUCUUAUUUUCUUAUUUUUGUUCAUAUUUCUUCUUCUUGUAACCCUAACCUAAUUCUAAAUAUUACUAACCCUAAUAAUCUAGCACAAAUCUAAUAAUAAUAGGAAUUAAAUGACAAAAAAUAUAUUUUUCUUUUUCUUCUUUUCUUCUCCUUUUUCUUCUUUUCUUCUCCUUUUUCUUCCUUUCUUCUCUUUUUUCUUCCUUUCUUCCCUUUUUCUUCUUUUCUUCUCCUUUUUCUUCUUUUCUUCUCCUUCUUCUUCUUUUCUUCUCAUUUUCUUCUUUUCUUCUCCUUCCCUUUUUCUUCUUUUCUUCUCCUCCUCUUCUUAUUCUCUUCUUCUACUUCUCCUCUUCUUCUAUUUUUCCUCUUCUUCUCCUCUCCUCCUCUUCUUCUUCUCCUUUUUCUUCUUUUCUUCUCCUCCUCUUCUUAUUUUCCUUUUUCCUAAUUCUAAAUAUUACUAACCCUAAUAAUCUAGCACAAACCUAAAUAUUCUAAAUAUUUUUCUUUUCUUCUCCUUUUUCUUCUUUUCUUCUCCUUUUUCUUCUUUUCUUCUACUGGCCGGAGUGUUGGGGAGGAGGGGGCGGGGGCUUACCGGCCGGAGGGGUCGACGGCGCGGUCGACGGCGCGCGGCGAGGAGGACGGCGCGGCACGCGGCGAGGAGAACGGCGGCGGCGAGGAGGACGACGGCGACGGCGAGGAGGACGGCAGGCAGCGGCGAGCAGGACGGCGGGCAGCCUGACGGCAUCGUCGAGUUCGUCGCUGUGCCGCGCCGGGCAGGAGAACGAGAGGAAGAAGAAGAGAAAUGGACGAUUUGGGUUGCAAUUUUUCGAAGUCCCGCUUAUAUAGGUGGAUCUUUAGCCCCGGUGCGUGGCUCCAACCGGGACUAAAGACCCCCUUUAGUCCCGGGUGGAGCCACGACUCGGGACUAAAGGCCCCUGCUCCACCCGGGACUAAAGCCCCUCCUCGGCUGCACGAUAAGUUUAGUCCCACCUCGCCCAGCGAGGGGGACUAACACUUGUUUAUAAGCCCCGUCGCAGCUUCUCCAUCGAGCUCCUCUCUAAAUCAGGCUUACGGGCCUAAACUCACUGAAAAUUGAAACUAUAUUCGAAAUUAUGGAGAAAAUUCAACCUGAAUUCAAAGUGAACUCACUUUGAAUUUAGACUGAAUUUUCUCUAUAAAUUCUCAUAUAGUUUCAAUUUUUUCUAUUUUCAUAAUUAAUAAUUUUGACUAUCCAAACUAUUAUCUAUUUUGUUAUUUUCAAUUAGAAACUAUGUUUUUUAAAAAUUCUUUUUGCAUAUUUGAGAAUUUGACAAAACUAUGAUAAUGAAAAGUGUUUGAAAUUGAAUAAAUAAUGCAAAACUAUUUUCUAUUUUCAUAAUUAAUAAUUUUGACUAUCCAAACUAUUAUCUAUUUUGUUAUUUUCAAUUUAAAACUAUGUUUAUUAAAAAUUCUUUUUGCAUAUUUGAGAAUUUGACAAAACUAUGAUAAUGAAAAGUGUUUGAAAUUGAAUAAAUAAUGCAAAACUAUUUUCUAUUUUCAUAAUUAAUAAUUUUGACUAUCCAAACUAUUAUCUAUUUUGUUAUUUUCAAUUAGAAACUAUGUUUUUUAAAAAUUCUUUUUGCAUAUUUGAGAAUUUGACAAAACUAUGAUAAUGAAAAGUGUUUGAAAUUGAAUAAAUAAUGCAAAAAUAUUUUCUAUUUUCAUAAUUAAUAAUUUUGACUAUCCAAACUAUUAUCUAUUUUGUUAUUUUCAAUUAAAAACUAUGUUUAUUGAAAAUUCUUUUUGCAUUUUUUUAGAAUUUGACAAAACUAUGAUAAUGAAAAGUGUUUGAAAUUGAAUAAAUAAUGCAAAAAUAUUUUCUAUUUUCAUAAUUAAUAAUUUUGACUAUCCAAACUAUUAUCUAUUUUGUUAUUUUCAAUUUAAAACUAUGUUUAUUAAAAAUUCUUUUUGCAUAUUUGAGAAUUUGGCAAAACUAUGAUAAUGAAAGUGUUUGAAAUUGAAUAAAUAAUGCAAAACUAUUUUCUAUUUUCAUAAUUAAUAAUUUUGACUAUCCAAACUAUUAUCUAUUUUGUUAUUUUCAAUUUAAAACUAUGUUUAUUAAAAAUUCUUUUUGCAUAUUUGAGAAUUUGACAAAACUAUGAUAAUGAAAAGUGUUUGAAAUUGAAUAAAUAAUGCAAAACUAUUUUAUAUUUUCAAAAGUAAUUAUUUUGACUAUCCAAUCUAUUAUCUAUUUUGUUAUUUUCAAUUAAAAACUAUGUUUAUUAAAAAUUCUUUUUGCAUAUUUGAGAAUUUGGCAUGCUAUCAGCAUUUCACCCUCAUAGCAUGUGUUAAAAAGUUGAGAGGGCUACGGCAAAAACUGGAUGCACUUCGUGUACAAAACGGACAAUAUCUUUCGAAGUAUCAGCGUUUCACAAGAAGAAGAAGGAGAAAUGACCCCCCAGAGCAACAGUCGACAUUCUUCUUCUCUCAUGUAUGGUGGACACUCCCUCACCUAAUUUUUUGACCGUCGAUGAUGGUCGCUAUUCCUUCUNNNNNNNNNNNNNNNNNNNNNNNNNNNNNNNNNNNNNNNNNNUUUCCCUAAUGCAUAACAAAUAUCUAGCACAAGAGAAGAAGGAAAAGCGACCCCCACAACAAAAGUGGUUCCGCGGCACGCCAUGUGGUUCCGCUGCACGCCACGUGGGACUAAUGUUCUUUCAUUUUUAAAUGACUUUUUAAUCAAAAACAGAUUUGUUACAAAAGGGAUUUCAUUUUUUGAACUUAUUUGAACUGAAGACUUUUUGUAUAUAUAUGUGGUCGAAAUGCAUGAUACCAUGAAGUUAGAAAGGGCUAAACCAUUCAAAAGUAGCAAAUGAAGUUAGAAAGGGCUAAACCAUUCAAAUUUGGAAACUAUAAUGGCACAAACAGAAACUAGACAUAUAUAAAUUGGUCCAAGCAGUACAUGAUACUAGUCCAAACAGUACAUAAUAAUAGCUACCAUAGAUAUAUAUACAAGUGUUCGACGUUGAGAACACUACUCGUCUGAAUCGUCUGAAUCAGAAUGUCCACCUUCCUUGAGGUGACGCUGGCCAUAGUUGACGACUCGAAUCUUGCGGUACAACUCGUAUGAAACGUAUGCAUCUUUUGUUGCAUACUCAAUGUUGAUACGAUCAAGUGGGGCCUUCUCCCAAAGUUUGUGCUAAGACUUUGGGAAACUGGUCUUCAUAUCACCAUAUUCCUCGUCGAUCAAGGCAACAGCCAUAUGAGCCAUCGAAGUCCUGACAUGUCGAAGCCUGAAUACCGUUUGGAGAUCAAUGAGGCAACCAGUUGGUAUCUCAAUACCGAAGCUGUACCUCAUCUUCAGCUUGUCGUUCCUUAUGUCAACGGUAGCAAAAGUGAUGCCGCUGCGAAGGAAGUCCAUGAGUUCUGGACAAUGCUUGUCACUACUGCAAUAGAAACAAAUUAAAAUGGAACGAAUGUUACAUACUGCUGCAAUAAGGAAACAUGUUUCACUACAACUAAAGAGAAAAUUAUCUUUAGGAUUCAAAUAGAACAUAUGCAAUGGAACCUAGAGAGAUCACUAUAGCUAUCCAAUGGAACCUAGAGAGAUCACUAGCUAUAUGCAAUUUUCAUGACUAUGACAUAUCAUAUUGCUAUCCAAUGGAACCUAGAGAGAUCACUAGCUAUAUGCAAUUUUCAUGACUAUGACAUAUCAUAUUGCUAUCCAAUGGAACCUAGAGAGAUCACUAGCUAUAUGCAAUUUUCAUGACUAUGACAUAUCAUAUUGCUAUCCAAUGGAACCUAGAGAGAUCACUAGCUAUAUGCAAUUUUCAUAACCUUGGAUCAAAGAACACCGCAUAAAAUUGUAUCACUACAACUAUGAUUUCAAUGGAACAUAUUGAACCAAUCAGAUUUUUCAGAUUGUGGAACACUAUUCCAAUCAGAUUGUGUUCCCUUCAACUAAUCAAAAUUGUUUCACUACAACUAUUCAAAGCGAACCAACUAUGAUUCCAAUGGAACAUAUUAAACACUAGUUGAUUCUAAUACGAUUUUUCAGAUUAUGGAACACUAUUCCAAUCAGAUUGUGUUCCCCUUCAACUAAUCAAAAUUGUUUCACUACAACUAUUUGAAGGGAAUCAACUAUGAUUCCAAUGGAACAUAUUAAUCACUAGUUGAUUCUAAUACGAUUUUUCAGAUUAUGGAACACUAUUCCAAUCAGAUUGUGUUCCCCUUCAACUAAUCAAAAUUGUUUCACUACAACUAUUUGAAGGGAACCAACUAUGAUUGAAACAAAUAAACUUACAAUGUCAUUAUCUUGGAUCAAAGAAAGCCUCAAAACUUACCUCGCCCAUUGGAAGAUCAAGACAUGGUGUGCGAAGCAUAGUUGGAUGACGGCAACACCGCGUUGAUCGGCCGUGUACUCCAGAUCAAGCCCCAAGAACUUCUCAUGAUCCAUUGCGGCGUCAAGCCAUCGUUCCUUCAACUGUUCAAGAAAAAACGGCAUCUCCCUGCUCUCGUUCGUGUACACGACAUCGAGCAUGGUCGUGCCAUGUGCGAGCACCUCUUUAAAGCGAGUUGGCAUGGUGGAAGAAGAGAAGGGAAGAAGAGAGGAGAAGAACAGAGAGCGAGAGCGAGAGAGAAGAAGAAACAGAGAAAUGGCGACUCUGCUUCGGUUCGUGCUUUUCAUCGCCCGAAACGACGCGGGAUGCAAACCGUUUGGGCCUUUAGUCCCGGGUUGAGCCACCAACCGGGACUAAAGAGGUAUACCAACGGUUUCCACCACUACGGCAGGCCACAUGUUAGACCUUUAGUCCCGGUUUGAGCCACCAACCGGGACUAAAGGGGGAUACGAACGGUUGCCACCACCACUGCCCACCGCGUAGCCCUUUAGUCCCGGUUUGGGACACGAACCGGGACUAAAGGCUCCUUACGGGCCGGGACUAAAGCCUCGAUGGAGGCAUUGAGAAUUGGGGCGACGUGGUCGGGCCUUUAGUCCCGGCCCAAAGGCAGGCCGGGACUAAAGGAUCCCGGCCAAAGGCCCGUUUUUCACUAGUGAUGGAAGCAAUUUUGGACCUGUUUUUCACUGAACAUCCUAUGCAAGAAUAAUCUCUGAUUAGAAGAUGAGUAACUAUGUUGUCCACUGUGUACAGCCAAAUCUAAUACUUCUUCUGAUGAUAAAAGCAAUGAUCAGCUAAUAUUACAAAGCGGAAAUUAGCUACGUACCCUGGUGAGAAGCUGGUUGGCUUUCUUCUCGGCGAGCAGCCUCCCUCUCAUUUGUCUGCCCUCCUCCCCAGUGAUACUAUGGCCCCCGAAGCUCGCGCUCGUCUACUGCCCAGACAUCGGCGGCGCUUCACUGGAUCUGGAUGGACGCGAGCUCUUGUCAGCUUCCCCGUGGUUACAUAAAGAUUGACAAAUGAGAACCCCUACCAACUCAUCAAAAUCCCACAUCGGCUCCAGUACCAUGUUGUUUCAAAAAAAAUUCCUAGAACAUGAAUGUUGGAACUACACCAACUGUCAGAUCGUUGCACGCGCGCACACACACAGAGAUGACUGUUGAUCGAAUCUUGUUUCGUGUAGUUUGAUGCUGAUGAGAGAAAUUUACCGUGGGUAAGGGGAUCCCUUGAUGGGUUUUUGGCCGUACUUCCUCCACGAGUACUCGUCCGGCGGGAUGUCGGCGAUCUUCGCGCUCACCCUCGGCACUCUCACCGUCGUCUUCAUGCGGUUCUUCCUUAUCUUGGAGCAGUAGCAUCGGCUGCCCGUGGUGUUGGCCUCUGAGUGCGCGCCGGUGCAGGGCUUCCUCUUGUGCCCGGACAGCGGCGGCUUGCCGGCGGACACCAGGCUGCGACCCUUGGACACACUCCCCUCGGCGGCAGUUAUCGACGAGAAGAAGGACGUGGACGUCACGGACAUCGCGCCCGACAUGGUCAGGUUCGGCUUGGUGAAGUCCAGCGUCAGGCUUUGCGGCUGCGGGACCGGGGCGGCCAUCGAAACCGGCGCCACGACGGUCAAUGGGGUCGGCCUGGACAGCUCGAUGGCGAGAGGGCGCGGUGGGGAAGGAGGAGGAGCGACCAGAGCUAGAGGAGGCGGUGGUGGCGGUGACUGGAUGGGGCCGUGGCGGAAGCGGGCGUGGCCGGUGCGGUCGGGGAUGGAGAUCACCUUGCGGAACUUGGAGACGGCCUGGUCGGCGGCAGAACUUGGAGAUGGCCUGGUCGGCGAUCUCGCCGAACAGCUGCCGGUGUUGUUGCUGCAACACCUUGGAAGAGACGCCUCUUGCGGUGGUGGAGGCGAGCAGGUCGAGCGAGAGGUGGGGCAGACUGGGACAAAGGACGUGUGACGGGGGACGGGACUGGGUCGUGGUUGUUUCCUUUUUUCAAUCGUGCGGAGGAAGGUUGCGAGGGAACGUGGGAACGUGGGCUGUUCAUGCGAUCUUUUUGCGCGGGGGGUCAACGAGGGUUGCUGCUCCUCUUUUUUACCGCAUGGGAAAGGUGGGAUCGAGAGGUAGAACCAUCGCUGGUUGAACCAUCACGACGGCACAUUCUGCUUUCAUAGUAGAGAUGAUGACGAGGAGUCGCCACUCGCCACCAUCCUCUUCUCCUAGCUACAACUCUUGCUAUGUUGCUCCUUCUUCCAAUGGAAAUAGAUGGUCUUCUUGGGGUGUGUUCAGUUGGGGGACCAACUGUCAUGGAAUGAAAUGGUUUCAUUUCAGAGGAAUGGGUUCGUUCCAUUUCUGUGUUUGGUAGGAGCAAAAGAGUAGAACGGGUCGGCUUCGUUCUGGUGUUUGGUUGGAAGCACGUAAUGAAAAGUGGAACGACAUAAAAUUUAAAAUUUCGACAGUGUUUGUUUGUAAUUUGAAGAAAGACAACAUAACAAUAGAUAUUGACAAGUUUAUAACACAUAAAUGACAGCACAUAACAUAAUUUUCAACAAGGUGCGCAUAUAACAAGGUUCACAUACGGAAUUUCCAAAAGCAGCAAAGUGCAAUAGUCAUACAUGUCAAGUUAGCCACUCGUUGACAGACACAUAUGUCAAGUUCACAUAUGAAAUCUCCAAAAGCAGCCAAAGUGCACAUCAGUCAUGUGUCAAGUUCACAUACUUGUCAACCAUACAACCAUAUUGAAUUUAGAAGUUCUUCUUUACAUACCUACUCACCCAAACAGACUUGUCGAUUUGGAUUAGUUUCAUGAAGGCUCUUGCUAUCUUGGGAUUGUCUACAGGAUGAGCAUAGUGGUGGGCUAGGUUCACAUAAGACUGCGCCAGGGGUGCCUCACGCGCCCUCGUGUCUAUUUGCCGUAUGGUGGCCCCCCUCCGGCAUUUCUUCGUUCCAGUAUUUUUUAUUUAUUAUAAAAUAAAUCUCCAUAAAUUUUCAGCCCAAUUGGAGAUGUGCAGAAUAGGUAUCUCUGACUUAGCCUUUUCAGGUCCAGAAUGCUCUUUCGGCAUUCUCCUGCUUGAUGUAAACCUUGCAUAUUAUGAGAGAAAAGGCAUUAGAAUUGCUCCACUAAGUGGAAAAAUACAUAAAAACACUAUAAAUAACAUAACAAAACAUGAUGUAAAAUGGACGUAUCAACUCCCCCAAGUUUAGACCUCGCUUGUCCUCAAGUGAAAGCCAAUAGCGAAAAUCAUGAACACAUGCUUUGAGAGAGAUGUGUAGAUAAAAAUAAAAUAUGGACAUAUCAGCAUCAUGCUCAUUAUUAUAACAACAAAUAAAACUUUAUAAAAUACUUCAUCACAACAUUCUCAUCAUAUAACUUUUAUCAUAAAGGCUUCUUGUAAACAAGUAGCAAUUCAUCACAACAUCAAAGUAUGAAGCGUAAACUCUAUUGAAAACUAACAAACUAUGUUCUCGGUCUACUUUGCAACACAAUUCAUCAUAUUUUCAGGAAGGGUCACAUAUCGGAGGUUUUAAGCAAGACUACAUACUCAACUAUCAUUUAGUCUUCUAUGAUUGCUAACACUCACCGCAUACAUAUGAGCAAAAGGUUUCAACCGGACAUAGAGAAAGAUAGGGGCUUAUAGUGUUGCCUCCCAAUGUAUUCAUCCCAAGGGUGACGUCAACAAUGAUAACUCAUGUCCACCCACAUUCAGCUUGAUAUAUGUGUUUAGAUCUUUCCCCACCACAUGAUGCUUGCUGAUACGUCCCAAACGUAUCUAUAAUUUCUGCUUGCUCCAUGCACGUUUUUGGUGAUAUUGCUAUGUGUUUUGUACACUUUCAUACCUUUUUCAACAUAUUUGGACUAACCUACUAACUCAGUGCACCCAGUGCCAGUUUAUGUCUGCUGAUGUAUGUGAAUUGCAUGUUUAUACCCAUAUUUACAGUGCCCGAAAAACCCACAAAACAAAUAUAAAAAAAUCAGCGUUCUAGAAGACUCCAGACGGCCGAAGGAGGGCCACAGGGGGGUCACCAGGCCCCCAGGCGCCCUGGUGGCGCGGCCUGCCCCCUGGCCAUGCAGGGAGGCCGCCUGGGUGGGGCCCACCCCCUCUGGUGCCCUACCUUGGCUCCUAUUUUUACCCUCGUGGAGGAAACCCUGAUUCCGGAACCCUUUUCUCUAGAAGCAAUUCCGAUCUCCGCCGCCAUCGCCAACAAGUUUCGGGGGACUAGAAUUCCUGUGUCGGCACCCUGCCGGGACGGGGAAAUGCCCCCAGAUUCAUCUCCAUCGAAGUUGCUUCCUCCCUCCAUGAAGCGGGAGUAGUUCCUCCUCGGGGCUGAGGUCUUCUACAAUAGCUAUGUGGUUAAUUCUCUCUCCCAAGGUGUGAUCUAGAUUGUGAUAAUAGGUUAUGUUAAUCUAGGGUGAUCCCAUGAUGCUUCCCCUUCUUCUAUGUAUUGGAUUGAUGUACUCACUUGAUCUUAUCUAGUAUAAUCCCCGAGACCAUGGUGACAACGGUCUAUUGGACAUGGAUUAGAAGAAUAUUUUCAUGAGUGAUUUCCUCUUUUGUGAAUUGAUUGAAGAUUGAGUGUCUCUUGGUUCUUGUCUUUGACUAUCCUUGAGAUACGUUGUGGUAAUUGUGGUACUCUCUUUGGAUGUCCACGGUGACAUUGGGAAAUCCAUGGAUGAGAACUACAAACUUUGAGGUGUGCUUUUGUAGCCCUACAUAAUUCUCGUCCUCUCUUGAUCACAAAGGAAUGACCUCCGAGUACGUCUCCAUUGCAUGUUUUAGUGGAAAUAUCAUCUGAUUAGACUAUGUUAAUGUUGUUGGGAGUUGCCACUAGUGAAAGUAUGAAGCCUUGGCCUUGUUUCUCACCAUUGUUACACCGUUUAUGCUCACUUUUGUCACUUGCUACCUUGCUGUAAUUUUAUUACAGAUUUAUAUUACCUUGCUUUGCCACACCUAUCACCCAUAUUUUACCAUCUCUUCGCUGAACUAGUGCACCUAUACAAUUUACCAUUGUAUUAGGUGUGUUUGGGACACAAGAGACUUCUUGUUUCUUAAUUGCAGGGUUGCCUGAGAGAGACCAUCUUCAACCUCUACUUCCAUGAGUUUGAUAAACCUCAGGUCAUCCACUUGAGGGAAACUGCUGCUGUCCUACAAACCUCUGCGCUUGGAGGCCCAACAUAGUCUACAAGAAUAGAAGCGUGUGUAGACAUCACUUGCCAAAGAGAAGAUAAAGGAAGUAGAGGAAAAUACUUUGACUCUUGCACAAAAAUAAAUACAUAAAGGUAAAAGAUAGGCCCUAUGCAGAGGGAAGAAGAGGUUGUCAUGCACCUUUUGGUUGUAUGCUAAAUCUAUUAGUGCAAAGGAACGUUACAUUAUAUUGCCCCUUGUGAUGGCAACCUUUAUUAUGCAGUCCGUCGCUUUUAUUAUUGCCAUCACAAGUUUGUACAACGCUUAAUUUCCCUUACUCUAAAUGAUCAAACAUGUUUAGAAGCAAUUUUUAUUGCUUUGUGCAGCGAUGAUAACUUACUUGAAGGAUCUUACUCAAUCCAUAGGUAGGUAUGGUGGACUAUUGAAACAUAGGUUUGGGUUUAAGGUUUUGGAUGCAGAAGUAGUAUCUCUACUUAGUGCAGAGUUUUUGGCUAGCAAAGGUACUAGGCAAGCACCACAUGUUAGAGGACCUACAACAAUAUAACUUCUAUGUGAAUGUGAACAAGCAUAAAUCAUUACGUUGUCUUCCUUUUCCAAUGUCAACAGUUUUUGCAUAUUAUAAUUAAUGGGGCUCACAAUCAUAAAAGAUGUCAAGAAUAGUGUAUUUGCAUGUAAAUCUUCUCUUCACUUAUUAAUUCUUUCAAGUGUUGCAUAACCGAUUAAUGUUAUGUUUGUCACCCUUCAACAAAUUUUACCACUUAUACUUUUCCUUAUGUGAUGUCACUACUUACUAUCAGAUUGGCAUAUGAUUUUUUCAUUAUUUUCUUUUAUUUUGAUUGCAGCAAUAAAGUAAAGAAGCAAAACUCAAACUAACUUUAUUAUAUAACUCUGACUCGAUUACAUAGAUAGAUAGAUAAAUCACGAAACUAGCAGUCAAAAGAAAAAGAUUGAACAAAACUUUUAUUUAACUAGAUCACGAAAUAACUAAAGAUCAAACUAGGAUGGAUAAAGAUAAAGAAGGGUGAUGGUGAUACGAUACCGGGGCACCUCCCCCAAGCUUGGCACAAACCAAGGGGACUACCCAUACCCAUGUACUCAAGUCUCCUUCUUUGGUGGUGAACUUGAAAAUGCUGGUGUAGAUGAUGAGAUGGCAUCAUAGUGUAGCCUCGGGAGGUUCUUCAGAUAUUGAACAACGCUCCGAAGAUUCGUGACUUGGUCCUUUAACAAAAUAUGAUCAUGAGUAAAAUAUUUAUUUUGAACACGAACCGUUUCGAAGGCUCUGAAGGCUUCGAUAUCAAGAGGGGUGAGAUGCUCAUAGUAGGGUUGGAGGUAAUCUUAUUCUUCUUCUUCUUUUGGUGGCAUGGCAUGCCCUUCUUCUGGAGUUUGAUCCCCUUGACGUCCUUGCCCUUGUUGUCCUUGGUAGCUCCUACUGAUUCCUCUUCCUUUAGUUCCAUGUUCAUCAGCCAAGCAUCUCCUUCUACGUGGUUGGAGGAGGGAGAACACAUGAUGCCUAGCCUGAUAGAUCUCACACAAAAAUAGCACGAAACAAGAACAGAUGAUUUCUCUGUGGUACUAGGAUCAAAUCAUUAGGAGAUAUAUAAGGAUGGAUCACGGUGAGGGAGUUGUUGGAUCCGGGAGCAUCCGGCGGUAUUAUAGGCAUGAUCCACGUGAAAUUUUAGUGGCCCAGUCAAAACCCAGCACACGCGUACGACGUUAUGACCAUCUAAAAUUGGUCAUAAUCGAUUAAAAAUAAUGUGCAAAUUCAUAUAGCAUUUUAUUUUCAUUUUUCGAGUCUCCAAAAUGUAUUUUUUUGUGAAGAAGCAACCAAAUAUUUGCACAAGGGUUCAUAUUCGAAUGUCAAACAAUAUUUUCAAAUGGAGCUUUCAUUUUCUUUGCACAGAAAAUUCAUUUUACAUUUUUUGAGUGUCCAAAAUGAGAUAUUUUAUGAACCUACCAAAUAUUUGUUGCAAAAUUAGAACAAGUCAUUUUCUAAAAUAUUAGGCCAUAUUUAAUGCACAAUUGAUCAAAUGGUUGGGUGUCAAAAGGUUUUAUCCACCUCUCGUGAAAAAGACAAAUUUAAUCCGAUUUAGGUGGAAGCGAGUCAAAUUUGAAAUGCAACUCCAUUAUAAUUUGCUCUUUAUUUUUUCAAAAAAUAUUUUUUAGGUACAAAAGUACCUAUUUAAUAAGAGAAACACCAAAUGUUUUGCAAGAUUCAACCACUAGCUAGGAACGGUCAUGCCCUCCGUUUUGACCACAUUUUUUAAACGGGCAUGAAAAAAUAAAAAAAUCAAAAAAUUGGAAACUCUUCGCAUUGUGCCAUUAAAUAUGACCAAGUUACGAGGAAAAAUAAUAAACUUGUAAUACAUAAAUUAUUUAAAAAAAUGUUCUCACAAAUGAGCUAUCAUGUGUGAAGAUUUGUGUCUUUCAAGGUAAACGAUCAAUCUUAUGGACACAUUCGUGACAUAGUUUGUUGAAAUGAUCUAAUAUUAUGCACAAAGGUGCAUAUUGUAAUGGAAAAUAAUGUUGCCUAAGGAAGUUGUCUUUUUUUAUGAAAUAUUCAUUUACCAUUUUGCGAGUGCUCAAAAUGAGUUUUUUUUGUGAAGGACCUACCAUAUUUAAAAAAAAAAUAUGCCAUAUUUAAUGUACGUAUUGACCAAAUGGUUGGGUGUGAAAAUAUUUUUUUAUCUCUCGUGAAAAAGACAAAUUUUAGCCGAUUUAGUUGGAAACGAGUCAAAUUUGAAGUGCAACUCUAUUAUAGUUUCCUCUUUAUUUAUUUUUAAAUAGUUUUUAGAUACAACAGUAUCUAUUUAAUCAGAGAAACACCAAAAAAUUUGCAAGAUUCAACUACUAUCUAGGAAGAGUCGCCCUCCGUUUUGACCGCAUUUUUUAACGAGCAUGAAAAAUUCAAAAAAAAUCGAAAAAUUGGAAACCUUCGCAUUGUGCCAUUAAAUUUGACCACGUUACAAGAAAAAAUAAUAAACUUGUAAUACGGAAAUUAUUUAAAAAAAAGUUCUCAGAAAUGAGCUAUGAUGUGUGAAGAUUCAUGACUUUCAAUACAAAUAAUCAAUCUUAUUUUAAUGGCAUAGUUGUUGAAAUGAUCUAAUAUUAUGUACAAGGGUUCAUAUUGUAAUGGCAAGCAAUGUUGCCUAAGGAAGUUUCCGUGUUCUUUGGACGAAAAAAUCAUUUUCCAUUUUCCAAGUGCUUAAAAUGAGUUUUUUGUGAAAGACCUACCAUAUAUUUGUUGCAAAAUUAGAAACAAUUAUUUGGAUAAAAUACUAGGACAUAUUUAAUGUAUAAUUGACCAAAAGAUUGGGUGUAAAAAUAUUUUAUCCACCUCUCGUGAAAAAGACAAACUUCCGUCGAUUUACGUGGAAGCGAGUCAAAUUUGAACUGCAACUCCAUUAUAGUUUGCUUUUUAUUUUUCAAAAAAUAUUUUUUAGGUACAAAAUUAUGUAUUUAAUCAGAGAAAAACCAAAACUUUUGCAAGAUUCAUUCACUAGCUAGGAACGGUCAUGCCCUUUGUUUUGACCGUAUUUUGUAACGGGCAUGAAAAAAAUGAAAAACAAAUCAAAAAUUGGAAAACCUUCGCAUUGUGCCAUUAAAUAUGACCAAGUUACGAGGAAAAAUAAUAAAGUUGUAAUACGACAAUUAUUUAAAAAAAUGUCCUCAGAAAGGAGCUAUCAUGUGGGAAGAUUCAUGUUUUUCAAGGCAAAUAAUCAAUCUUAUGAGCACACUGAUGAUAUAGUUUGUUGAAAUAAUUUAAUAUUAUGCACAAGGGUGCAUAUUGUAAUGGCAAGCAAUGUUGCCUAAGGAAGUUUUCAUUUUCUUUGGAUGAAAAAUUCAUUUUUCAUUUUUCGAGUGUGCAAAAUGAGUUUUUUUUAAGGACGUACCAUAAAUUUAUUGCAAAAUUGGACCAAAUAUUUUUUCUAAAAUAGUACGAUAUAUUUAGUGUACAAUUGAACAAAUGGUUGGGUGUUAAAAUAUUUUUCCAUCUCUCGUGAAAAAGACAAAUUUAAGCUGAUUGAGUUGGAAGCGGGUUAAAUUUAAACUACAGCUGCAUUAUGGUUUCCUCUUUAUUUUUUCAAAAAAAAUCAUUUUUAGGUACAUAAGUAUCUAUUUAAUCAUAAAUACAUGGUGUGGUGGCGAGACAUUGAGGUUUGGAUGGUGGGCGAGGGCCCCAACUCCAGAGCGCGUAAACUCGCAUGACAGUCGCUUGGUCACUGCCUGACCGUGGCGUUGCCACACGUUCUGGGUGGACUAGGCAUGUCUGGUGGGUUGGACACUCCUCAGUAGGUGUUAGCAAGAAGAAUACAAUAAAAGAAUCCCACGAGUAGAAUGAACUAAGCUCAAACAUGAAUUAGCAGCCAAGUGUUUGAUUAACGGUGGGGAAAUGCACAUGGACAAUGGGUCUAAUAUUGGUUGAGGAUGAUCAUCUACUAAGGAGACUCUCUUGGUAAAUUUUUAUCUCAAAUGGAUGAUCCUAGAUGGUACUUGCUUUGCAAAGUACCACACUAUGCAGAAAUAUGGAUAUUGAAGCUGGGAUCAAACGAAUAAAUGAAUUGAGCUAAAAUUUGGUGGAUGGUGUUCAUUUGGGAAUAUGAAGGCACUGUAAAUUUGUAUACCAUUUGGAUAUGCCAAAGUGACACUUCCUUCACAAUGUGUCAAUCUAGACAGAAAAUGGUAAUUGAAACUCGGCUCACAAAUAUGAUUGGAUUGAUCUGCAAUUUGGAGGAGGAUUAUAAGUUGGGCACAUAAAGGCACUGUAAAAGUUUCAUAAAAUUUGGAUAAAUAAAAAUUGUACUUCCUUCACAAUGCUCUCCACUGAACAGAACAUUGGGGAAAAUAUUGAGGGAAAUUGACUAAAUUAAAUGAGCUAAAAUUUGGUGGAGGGGGGUUCUAUGGUCAGCUUUAUGUCCUGGUAAAUUUUCAGCAACUAUAAAGUAAUAUAAAACGUGGUUGCUUCAUAAACUAAAAAUAUUACCACAAACAAAGAUAGGAUGAUGAGCUCACAUCGAUUGUUAUAUGCGGCUCAAAUUUUGUGGACAAUUAUGGUUUGGGCAUAUAGAAGAUGUGACAAAAAUUCAACUCAUUAGGAUAUAUCUAGCUAGUACUUCCUUCACAAAGCUUCUAGCUGAACACAAACUUUAGAAAUUUGCUGAUAAAGAUUUACUAGGCAAAUGGAGAUGAAUUUUUUCACGAGGCAAUGAUUUGGAUAGGCAAGAGUCCCAAAAAUUUUGAGGGCAAUCAAGAAAAUAUAAAUAGCACUUCCUUCACAAAGUGUUAUUCUAAACAGAAUAGGAAAAUGAAUAUUUUUGAAUUAUUUUUGAACUAGCGAAGGAAGGUUUUUGACGUAUUUGAGGAAUAUAUGAUCCAAAGAAUUUAUGUGAAUUUUUGGAGAAUAUUGGGAAUGACAGAAUAGUAGGUUUCUUAACAAACUAGGGCAAAAAUUGACACGUAGACAUGACACAUUGACAAAACUGAUGAUGUAGCGUCUAGUCAUAGCUAUGACCAUCUAUAUUGGUCGUAAUUAGCUAGAAAUUACACAGUGGACCAGGGCUAUCUACUUUACGACCAUUUCUCGUAAGAAAAUUAUGAUCUUUUUUGACCGAAUUGGUCGUUAUGGUUUCGGGUUGGAGCCUCCCAAACAGCUUACGACCAAUUGGUCUCAAAUGGUCGUAAAUUCACGACCAUUUCAGCCAGGGUCACUGCGAGAAGGUCACUAGUUGACAUAUUUCUUGCAGUGCCCGUUUAUUUACACAACAAUAUUAAAUAUUAUUUAACAUGCAAGAGGUGAAGCAUAAAUAAACUACACUAUCUACGUAUUUUAAAUAAGGUCGGAAACAACAUAUAACAUUUCCGAAAUGACCCCAUAUGUUAAUUUCGAAAUUGGUCUAGACCUGAACUAAGCACNNNNNNNNNNNNNNNNNNNNNNNNNNNNNNNNNNNNNNNNNNNNNNNNNNNNNNNNNNNNNNNNNNNNNNNNNNNNNNNNNNNNNNNNNNNNNUUUCGAAUUUGCUACAGAUAUGCUUAGAACAUAAUUUUAGAAUUGUUAAACAAAAAAAAAUAAAUGCUAUCAUAUUAUUCUACACAUUUAUCUGAUCAAAUUACAUAUGUGGAUCAUUCUAAUCGGAGCUACAUGUAAUUAGUUAUAAAAUAAAUUAUUUUAAUAUGACAUUUGUGCAAGUUAAAUGAAAACAACAAGUUAAACAUUUUAUGAGAGUUGGGUAUUGUGAACCUACGCGGAAUUCUAGUCAUUUUACAUAUUUAAAUCAAUUUAAUCUGACACACGGUUAUCUAAUUAUUAACAUUUUAACACCACGACAUUUAUCUAAAAUAUGCAUGCAUUGAUAAAUCCUAAAUUUCAGCGGACAGGAAAAAAAACGUAGUUCGGCCGGAAUGCAGCACUGCAACGGCCCAGGGAAGUAUUAGGUCCAAGUGAAAACUAAACAAGAACGCAUUGCAAAGAAUCAUGAAAUCACUGCAGCCACGACGCGUUUGUGCCAAAUUAAGGGCGCUGCUCUAGAUAAUCUUAAAAACGAGUGAACUUAAACCAACACAUAACAAAAUAGAAAAGGAAACCAGGAAUGUGCUGCCCAACUCGGCUGUGGUUCCUCGCGUGAUACACUAGCAAGUUAGUCCUAUACAUAUGAAAGAAGCACGAGUCUUCUUCUCCACGCACGCACGCACGCAACGACAAUUAGCACAACAUGGCGGAAGUGGCGGCUUUGGACUUGCUGCAUGGGGGAACCAGUCGGGGAUGACGCUAAUGGAGGGGGACGAGGCUGGAGAUCGGGUUUGGGGCGCGGGGUCCGGUCGAUCUGGUGGCGCCGACGACGACGGUCAUGUCUUUGUUCCUGGAUCAGAGACAGAGAGGAAAAUUUGAAGAGAAGAGGAGCAUGCAAGGGAGGCAGCAGGCGCGACGCGAACCUCCUAGGUCAAAGAAGAGGAGGCAGCAGCGUUGGGAGGGUGUCCUGGAGGUAAGCGGAGAUCGACGUCGGCGACGGCUUGAACGGCGACCGGAGAAAGCUCGACAGCCAUGAAGGGGAGCUCCUGUCCAUGCAGAGAUAGAGAGAUAGCGCUUAGAGAGGAGAGCUUGGGAUUAAGGAAGGAAGCAGAGGGAAGGAUGGAGAGGAAGGGCACAGUCCUGCUGGUUCGGCGACGGCGAGGAGGUCCUCGGGUGCGCCCCGCGCGGGACCGAGAGAAAGCACUGGGACGAGCGGCUCCACGGGAGACCGCAGAAGGCAAAGUGUAUAAAAAGUAAAUGUAUAUGAUAAAGUGAGUAAAAAGUAAAUAUAUAUUUAAGGUUUAUAUAAAAAUUCAAAAUAGUACUCUUUCCGUUCCAAAAUAAGUGUCUUAAGCUUAAUACAAUUUUAUACUAAAAUUAGUACAAAGUUGAGAUAAUUAUUUUAAAACGAAGGGAGUAUGUAUUAGCGGGAUUGCGUUAGAUCCAUGAAGAAACACUUCGUGCAUUAAGCCCUAUAUAAGGUUGAACAGGGCCAACGUCUCGGGCUUUAAGGCUGUGAAGCCCCUAUCCACAUACUAUUAAUAGUGUAUCUCGGUCACACGCAUUGCUAGUAAUAUUUCCUACCACGAAGGACCUACUAAAAUACACAAAGAUUGAAAACCUAUAAAAUAAAAGAUUCAAAUUGAACAGGUUGAACAAAUUGUGUGAACCACGUGAAAACAAAUUGAACAGGUUGGAAUUGGUUAGUUUUGUUACGCCGCUAGUCUCUUUCAUGUGAACAUCAUACAUGUUGUACCGAGGGUUUUCUUAGCUAGAUCGAUCUUAUUUCAGUAUCAAGCAACUAGUAGAGACACAACAUCAACAUAUUAUUGAACCUAAUGUAUCAUGUAUGACACAUUUGACCGAAAAAUGAACAAAGCGGCAUAUAUCAAUUAUUUAGUGACAAGUGCCUUGUAAAUACCUCAUACAUUCUCGAUAUUUCUUAUUUGUGUAUAUAUCUAUUUAUAGUCUAGAUAAGUUGCAAAGAUAUUUCUUAUACAGCAAACUUUAGAUAUAUCUACCAGAACUUUUAAGGAUGCACACAUACCCAUAUGGACUACAAUCACGCAAGUUUUACAAAUUAAUCCAAGUGGACAUGCCAAUUUGUCUUUUCUUAUUUUCUCACAGUUGAUAAAGUUGAUUUAUAUAUCAUUUCUAAUGUGCAAUGUAUUUAAAUAAAAUAACUGAAGAAUGUAACUUUUGUUAGUACAUACAUUUAAAUUUACCUUAUGUAUGUAUUUAUGAUUUUAAUUAACAAAACAAGAUAAAAACAAAUACAAAAGUUAGUAUAAAUAACUAUAUUUAUUUUGGUUCGCACUGUCCAUUUUUUAAAUUGGCCCAUAAAAAUAUUACACUUACACAUGCAAGGCACAGGAAAGUUACUAUAAUAGUUACACUCAUUAAUGUGAUCGCACAUAAAAGUUUUUAAAUCCAUGGAACAUUAUCAUUAACAUCACAUAGAGGAGUGAUAUGUUGGAAAUAUGCCCUAGAGGCAAUAAUAAAUUACUUAUUAUUAUAUUUCCUUGUUCAUAAUAAUCAUUUAUUAUCGAUGCUAGAAUUGUAUUGAUUGGAACCUCAAAUACAUGCGUGGAUACAUAGACAACACACUCUCCCUAUUGAUCCUCUAGUUGACUAGUUCGUUGAUCAAAGAUGGUCAAGAUUUCGUGGCCAUAGGAAGUGUUGUCACUUGAUAACGUAAUCACAUCAUUAGGAGAAUGAUGUGAUUGACAAGACCCAAACUAUAAACGUAGCAUAUGAUCGUGUCAGUUUAUUGCUACUGUUUUCUGCAUGUCAAUGUAUCUGUUCCUAUGACCAUGAGAUCAUGCAACUCCCGGACACUGGAGGAAUACCUUGUGUGUAUCAAACGUCGCAACGUAACCGGGUGACUAUAAAGGUGCUCUACAGGUAUCUCCGAAGGUGUCUGUUGGGUUGACAUGGAUAAAGACUGGGGUUUGUCACUUCGUGUGACAGAGAGGUAUCUCGAGACCCACUCGGUAAUACAACAUCACAACAAGCCUUGCAAGCAAUGUGACUAAUGAGUUAGUUACGGAAUCUUGUAUUACGUAACGAGUAAAGAGACUUGCCACUAACGAGAUUGAACUAGGUAUGAAGAUACCGACGAUCGAAUCUCGGGUAGAUAACAUACCGAAGGACAAAGGGAACAUCAUACGGGAUUAACUGAAUCCUUGACAUAGAGGUUCAACCGAUAAGAUCUUUGUAGAAUAUGUAGGAUCCAAUAUGGGCAUCUAGGUCCCGCUAUUGUAUAUUGAUCGGAGAGUGUUUCAGGUCAUGUCUGCCUAGUUCUCGAACCCGCAGGGUCUGCACACUUAAGGUUCGGUGACGUUUCGGUAUAGUUGAGUUAUAGGUGUUGGUAACGAAAGUUGUUCGGACUCCCGAAUGAGAUCCAGGACAUCACGAGGAGCUCCGGAAUGGUCCAGAGGUAAAGAUUAAUGUAUAGGAAGUCCUGUUUUGGUCACUGGAAAAGUUCGGGCUCAUCGGUAGUGUACCGGAAGUGCCGGGAGGGGUGCCGGGGACCAUCGGGAGGGGUGUCACGCCCCAAGGGGUCUCAUGGGCUAUGGGAAGAGAUAAACCAGCCCCUAGUGGGCUGGAAUAAGUUCCCACUAAGGCCCAUAAGGUUUGAGAAGGAAAAAACACAAGGUGGAAAGAGUUUCCAAGUGGGAAGGUGGAAUUUGGAGUAGGACUCCUCCACCUCCAAUUUCGGCCAAACCUUGAGGUUUUGAGGCUGCCUCCUCCCCUCCCUCCCUCCUAUAUAUAGCGGUAAUUUAGAUCUGAUUUGAGACAACUUUGCCACGUGCAACUCAAACCUACACUACGUAGUUCUUCCUCUAGAUUAGAUUUCUGCGGAGCUCCGGCGGAGCCCUGCGGGAAUAGAUCAUCACCAACACCGGCGCGCUGUCAUGCUGUCAGAGAACUCAUCUACUUCUUCGUCUCUCUUGCUGGAUCAAGAAGGCCGAGAUCGUCAUCGAGCUGUACGUGUGUUGAACGCGGAGGUGCCGUCUGUUCGGCGCUAGAUCGGAACGGAUAGUGGGACGGAUCGUGAGACGGUUCAUGGGACGGAUCGUGGAACGGUUCGAGGGACGGAUCGUGAAGACGUACCACUACAUCAACCGCGUUUCUUAACGCUUCCCACUGAGCGAUCUAUAAGGGUACGUAGAUCUAAUCUCCUCUCGUUGAUGGACAUCACCAUGAUAGGUCUUCGUGUGCGUAGGAAAUUUUUUGUUUCCCAUGCAACGUUCCCCCACAGUGGCAUCAUGAGCCAAGUUCAUGCGUAGAUGUUAUCUCGAGUAGAACACAAAGGGUUUUGUGGACGGUGAUGUUCGAUUUGCUACCCACCUUAGUCUUUUCUUGUAUCGGCGGUAUUGUUGGAUUGAAGCAGCCCGGACCGACAUUAUUCGUACGUUUACGAAAGACUGGUUUCAUCGAUUGACAUGCAACCUCGUUGCAUAAAGAUGACUGGCGGGUGUUGGUUUCUUCAACUUUAGUUGAAUUAGUUUUGACCAAGGCGGUCCUUGGAGAGGUUAAAUAGCAAUUUGCACAUCUCCAUUGUGGUUUUUGCAUAAGUAAGAUGCGAUCAUACUAAAUACCCAUAGCAGCCACGUAAAACAUGUAACAACAAAUUAGAGGACGUCUAACUUGUUUUUGCAGGGUAUGCUUGUGAUAUGAUAUGGCCAAUGACGUGAUGUGAUAUAUUGGAUGUAUGAGAUGAUCAUGUUGUAAUAGUUAAUAUCGACUUGCACGUCGAUGGUACGACAACCGGCAGGAGCCAUAGGGUUGUCUUUAAACUAAAGUUUGUGUUUGCAGAUGCGUUUACUAUAUUGCUAGGAUGUAGCUUUAGUAGUAAUAUCAUAAGUAGCACGACAACCUCGAUGGCGACACGUUGAUGGAGAUCAUGAUGAUGGAGAUCAUGGUGUGGCGCCGGUGACAAGAAGAUCGUGUCGGUGCUUUGGUGAUGGAGAUCAAGAAGCACAAGAUGAUGACCAUAUCAUGUCACUUAUGAAUUGCAUGUGAUGUUAAUCCUUUUAUGCACCUUAUUUUGCUUAGAACGACGGUAGCAUUAUGAGGUGAUCUCUAACUAAAUCUCCUCAACUGUGCACCGUUGCGACAGUUCUUCGUUUCGAGACACCACGUGAUGAUCGGGUGUAAUAGACUCAACGUUCACAUACAACGGGUGAAAAACAGUUGCACACACGGAACAGUCGGGUUAAACUUGAUGAGCCUAGCAUGUGCAGACAUGGCCUCGGAACACAAGAGACCGAAAGGUCGAGCAUGAAUCAUAUAGUUGAUAUAAUUAGCAUAGAGAUGCUUACCACUGAAACUAUUCUCAACUCACGUGAUGAUCGGACUUAAGUUAGUGAAUUUGGAUCAUGUACCACUCAAAUGACUAGAGAGAUGUACUUUUUGAGUGGGAGUUCUUAAGUAAUAUGAUUAAUUGAAUAAAUUAUCAUGAACAUAGUCAAAAGGUCUUUGCGAAUUAUGAUGUAGCUUGCGCUAUAGCUCUACUGUUUUUAUAUGUUCCUAGAGAAAAUUAAGUUGAAAGAUGAUAGUAGCAACUUUGCGGACUAAGUCCAUAAAACUGAGGAUUGUCCUCAUUGCUGCGCAGAAGGCUUAUGUCCUUAAUGCACCACUCGGUGUGCUGCACCUCAAACGUCGUCUGUGGAUGUUGCAAAAAUCUGACAUACGCGUUUUUCAUGAUUACGUGAUAGUUCAGUGCGUAAUACUUGAAAGCUUAGAAGCAAGGCGUUGAAGACGUUUUGCAAACAUCACGGAACAUAAGAGAUGUUCUAAGAGAUGAAAUUGAGAUUUCAUGCUCGCGCCCUUGUUGAGAGGUAUAAGACCUCCGACAAGAUUCUUUGUCUACAAAGUAAAGGAGAAAAGCUCAAUCGUUGAGCAUGUUCUCGGAUUGUCUGAGUACAACAAUCGCUUGAAUCAAGUGGGAGUUAAUCUUCCAGAUGAGACAGUGAUGGUUCUCCAAAGUCACUGCCACCAAGCUGCUAGAGCUUCGUCAUGAACUAUAAACAUAUCAAGGAUAGAUAUGAUGAUCCUUGAGCAAUUUGCAAUGUUUGACACUUCGAAAGUAGAAAUCAAGAGGGAGCAUCAAUUGUUGAUGGUUAGUAAAACCACUAGUUUCAAGAAGAGCAAGGGCUAGAAGGGAUACUUCAUGAAAUAGCAAACCAGUUGCUUGCUACGGCAACAAAAGUCCUUCCAACGGCGCCCGAAAUAAGCGUGUUGACGGGAGACUAUUCAAGCGAUCCUCCCCUGCAACGGCGCCAGGAAUCCUUCUGCUACGGGCUAUGCCUUUAGGGACUUCCUUGGCAAAUAUGCAAAGGAUUCCCCCGUGGCCUUGGAGCCUUGCGUUGGUGUUCCCUCGAAGCGGAAAGGGUGAUGUAGCACAGCGGCGGUAAGUAUUUCCCUCAGUUUUGAGAACCAAGGUAUCGAUCCAGUGGGAGGAUCGCGUCAAGUCACAAGUACCUGCACAAACACAAAGAGCUUGCACCCAACGCUAUGAAGGGGUUGUCAAUCCCUUAUAGAUUGUUUGCAAAGUGAGAACUGAAAGCAAGAAGUAAACAAAGCAAAGUAAAAGUGAAAGUGGAGACGAUAGUUGUGAAUAGACCCGGGGGCCGUAGUGUUCACUAGUGGCUUCUCUCAUGAAAGCAAGUAGACGGUGGGUGAACGAAUUACUGUCGAGAAAUUGAUAGAACCGCGCAAAGUCGUGACGUUAUCUAUGGCAAUGAUUAUAUCUAUAGGCAUCACGUCCAAAACAAGUAGACCGAUACUUUCUGCAUCUACUACUAUUACUCCACACGUCGACCGCUAUCCACCAUGCAUCUAGUGUAUUAAGUUCAUAAGAACAGAGUAACGCCUUAAGCAAGAUGACAUGAUGUAGAUGGACAAUCUCAUAUCUAUGAUAAAAGCCCAUCUUGUUACCCUUGAUGGCAACAACACGAUGCGUGCCUUGCUGCCCCUUCUGUCACUGGGAAAGGUCACCACACGGUAUGAACCCAAAACCAAGCACUUCUCCCAUUGCAAGAAUCAUAGAUCUAGUUGGCCAAACAAAACCCAAGACUCGGAGAGACUUACAAGGAUAUCAAAUCAUGCAUAUAAGAAAUCAGCAAAGACUCAAAUAUAAAUCAUAGAUAAUCUGAUCCCAAAAUAUAAGAAAUCAGCAAAGACUCAAAUAUAAAUCAUAGAUAAUCUGAUCACAAAUCCACAAUUCAUCGGAUCUCGACAAACACACCGCCAAAGACGAUUACAUCGGAUAGAUCUCCAUGAAGAUCAUGGAGAACUUUGUAUUGAAGAUCCAAGAGAGAGAAGAAGCCAUCUAGCUAUUAACUACAGACCCGUAGGUCUGAAGUGAUCUACUCACAAGUCAUUGGAGGGGCGAUGAUGUUGAUGUAGAAGCCAUCCAACUCCAAAGUCCCCUCCGGCAGGGCACCGGGAAGGGUCUCCAGAUGAGAUCUCGCGGAAACGGAAGCUUGCGGCGGCGGAAAAGUGUUUUCGUGGAUGCCCUGAUUUUUUCUGGGAUUUUAGGGAAUAUAUAGGCGAAAGAGCUAGGGCAGGGGAGCUCCAAGGGGGCCACAAGCCUGGUAGCCGCUGCCCCCCUGGUGGCGGCUACAGGGCUUGUGGGCCCCCUGUGGCGCUCCUGCCUUGGCCCUCAAGUCCCCCGAUCUUCUUCUGUUCUGGAAAAAUUUAUUUCGGGGAUUUUAUUCCGUUUGGACUCCGUUCCAAAAUCAGAUGUGAAAAGAGUCAAAAACAUAGAAAAAACAGGAACUGGCACUUGGCACUGAAUUAAUAAGUUAGUCCCAAAAAGAUAUAAAAGGUAUAUAAAACAUCCAAAGUUGUCAAGAUAACAACAUGAAACUAUCAAAAAUUAUAGAUACGUUUGAGAUGUAUCAAGCAUCCCCAAGCUUAACUCCUGCUCGUCCUCGAGUAGGGAAGUGAUAAAGAAUGAAUUUUUGAUGCUUUCAUGCUACCUAGCAUAGAUGUCCUUUGUAACUCCUCUUAUGUGACGUGAAUGUUCAGAUCCAUUAGAUUCAAAACAAUAGUUUGCUAUUGAUGUGGAGACAAUAAUACUUCAAGCAAACUAGCAAGGCAAUCAUGAACUUUCAAAAUAACAAGGCCAAAAGAAAGUUAUCCCUACAAAAUCAUAUAGUCUGGCUAUGCUCUAUCAUCCUUGCACAAUGAAUUUAAAUCAUGCACAACCUCGGUAUUGGCCAAGUAAUUGUUUUCACACCUUUACUUUCUCAAACCUUUUCAACUCUCACGCAAUACAUGAGCGUGAGCCAUGGUUUUAGCACUAAAAGUGGGAUGGAGUGUGGUGGAGGUUGCAAGACAAACAAGGAGAAGAUGGUCACAUUAACUAGGCAUAUCAAUGAGCUAUGGAGAUGCUCAUCAAUAGAUAUCAAUGUGAAUGAGUAGGGAUUGCCAUACAAAUGAUGCACUAGAUCUAAGAGUAUGUGAAAGCUCUUAAAGAAAACUAGUGGGUGUGCAUCCAACUUGCUUGCUCACGAAGACCUAAGGCAAUUUUGAGGAAGCCUAUCAUUGGAAUAUACAAGCCAAGUUAUAUAAUGAAAAUUUCCCACUAGCUAUAUGGUGGUGACAAAGCAAGAGACUCUCAAUCAUGAAGAUUAUGGUGCUUAAUAAGCACAAGUGUGGAAAGAUAGUAGCAUUGUCCCUUCUCUCUUUUUCUCUCUUUUUUUGGUGGGCUCUUUGGCCUCUUUUUUUUAUAUAUUUUUUUAUUUUGGUGGGCAUCUUUGGCCUCUUUUUGUAUAUGGGCUUCGCUGGCCUCUUUUAUUUCCUCACAUGGGACAAUGCUCCAUCAAUGAUGAUCAUGACACUUACAACUCAAAACUUAGACCAAUGACGACUCUAUAUGGAAUGCCUUCGGUAGUGUACCGUGACAAUGAUCUAGUAUGGCAUAGACAUCAAUGGAAACAUCAUGCUAGCUAUCUUACGAUCAUGCAAUGGCAAUGCAGAAGUGGUGGCACAUGUCAUGGUGGUAGUUGCAUGGCAAUAUAUCUCGGAAUAGCUUUGAAAAAGCCAUAGUAGGUAGGUAUGGUGGCUGUUUUGAGGGAGGCUAUAUCGUGGGUUUUGUGCAUCGGCGAAAGUUGCACGACACUAAAGAAGAUAGUGAUGGUGGAAGGUGAAAGUGCAUCUAAACCAUGGACUCAAUAUUAGUCAUGAAGAACUCAUAUACUUGUUGCAAAAAUUUUAGUAGUAAUCGAAACAAAGCAUUCAACGCAUACUCCUAGGGUAAGGGUUGGUAGGUAUAAACCAUCGCGCGAUCCCGACCGCCACACAAAGGAUGACAAUCAAUAUACUAAUCAUGCUCAGACUUCAUCACAUAGCGGUUCACCAUACAUGCAUACUACGGGAAUCACUAACUUCAACACAAGUAUUCUUAGAUCCACAACACCAUACUAAUAUAACUUCAAUAUUACCACAACCACAACUCAAAACUAAUUGAGAUGAAUCAAACUUCCCUAACUAUUCAAUGCACAUGAAGGUGGAAGUUUUCAUAUCCCUUUGGAUAACUACCCCUUUUGAGACUACUAUCAUAGCAUAGAUCAACUACCAAGCCACGCGCUUUCGUGCUCUAAAAGAUAUAAGUGAAGCACAUAGAGCAAAAUCAACUAGCUCAAAAGAUAUAAGUGAAGCACAUGUGAGCUGAAUUGUCUAACCAAAGGAUAUAAGUGAAGCUCGACAAAAUCACGGUGAGUGCAUGUGACUCACUCUAGAUGUGCAGCAAGGAAGAUUGUGACACAAAAAAAAGACUCCUAUGAUACAAGACGCUCCAAGCAAAACACAUAACAUGUGGUGAAUAAAAAUAUAGCCCCAAGUAACGUUACCGAUGGAUUGAAGACGAAAGAGGGGAUGCCUUCCCGGGGCAUCCCCAAGCUUAGGCCUUUACGGCAUCCUUGAAUCAACUUGGGGUGCCUUGGGCAUCCCCAAGCUUGAGCUCUUGCCACUCUUUAUCUCUUUGUCCAUAAGAACUUCACUCAAAACUUGAAAACUUCACAACACGAAACUUAAACAGAAACUCGUGAUAUCAUUAGUAUAAGAAAGCAAAGCACCACUUCCUUAGGUACUAUAGAAAACUUAAAUUCUACUUAUGUUGAUGCUGGGUUACUGUAUUUUCAAUCUUCCAUGGCUAAUACCCCCCCGAUACUAUCCAUAGUUUCAUCAAAAUAAGCAACCAACUCAACAAAAACAGAAUCUGUUAAUAGCAGACCAGUCUGUAGCAAUCUGUAUACUUCGUGUACUUCUGGUACUUCCAAAAUUCUGAAAAAUUACGACAGUCUGAAAAAUUUGCGUAGCAAUCAGCAGCAAAAAGAAUCAACUCAAAGCUCUUACAGAAAAACAAUGAAAAUUCUUUUCAAGAGCAGAAAGUUUCUGUCUUUUCCAGCAUGACCAAACAAUCAUCCCCAAGACUAAUCAUAACGGUUUUACUUGGCACAAACGCAAAAAGAAACACAAAAAACACAAUCAUAACAGAAUUAUGAAAGUGUGGAAAACACAACACAGAAAUAAAAAGGAUAGAUUUGUUGGGUUGCCUCCCAACAAGCGCUAUUGUUAAACGCCCUUAGCUAGGCAAAAGGUGAUGGAAUCACAUAUAGUCAUCUUUAGUGCUCAAACCAUAAGUAGCCCUCAUCAUAGAUUCAUAAGGCAAUCUUAUUUUCUUUCUAGGAAAGUGCUCCAUGCCCUUCUUUAGAGGAAAUUGAAAUCUAAUAUUCCCUUCCUUCAUAUCGAUGAUAGCACCAAUAGUCCUUAGGAAAGGUCUACCAAGAAUAAUGGGACAUGAAGGAUUGCAAUCUAUGUCAAGUAGAAUGAAAUCCACGGGUACAUAGUUCUUAUUUGCAACAAUAAGAACAUCAUCGAUCCUUCCCAUGGGUUUCUUGACGGUAGAAUCCGCAAGAUGCAAAUUAAGAGAACACUCUUCAGUCUCAUGAAAACCAAGAAUAUCACAUAAAGACUUUGGAAUCGCGGAAACACUAGCACCCAAAUCACACAAAGCAUUGCAUUCAUAGUUUUUUAUUUUGAUUUUGAUAGUAGGUUCCCACUCAUCAUGAAGUUUUCUAGGUAUAGAGACUUCUAAUUCGAGCUUCUCUUCAAGAGAUUUCAUCUUGGCAUCUACGAUAUGAGCGGUAAAGGCUUUGCUUUGUCUAUAAGCAUGUGGAGAGUUUGCAAUGGAUUGCAUCAAAGAAAUGCAUUCAAAUAAGGAGCAACUAUCAUAAUUGAAUUCCUUGAAAUCCAAAGUGGGGGUUUCAUUACUACCCAAUAUUUUUAUUUCUUCUACUCAACUAUCCACACCUUUAUCAACAAGAUAUGUGGACUCCGAAUCAUUGGGGCGUUUUUUAACCAAAGUGGAUUCAUAUCCAGCCCCUUCAUCAAUAGGUUUGACACGCGAAAACAAAGAUUCAAGAGGAGUCACACCAAGCACUUCAAGAUCUCCGUGAUUUGCAUCACUAGAACGCACCCUUUUAAACCAUUCAUGCCUAGCGCGAAUUUGGACGGUUCUUUAUUUGCUCUCAUUCAUGGAGACACGCAUAGAUUUAAAAGUUUCAUCCAAGUUGACCUUGGGAGGAGCACAUCUAACUUUCAAAGCAUCAAUAUCACAAGACAUCCUAUCAACGCUCUUAGCCAAAUCGUCUAUUUUGAGUAGUUUUUCCUCUAUGGACGCAUUGAAAAUCUUUUGAGAGUUGAUGAACUCUUUGAUAUUACUCUCUAAAUCAGAGGGUAAUUUGUUGUGAUUUCCAUAAGUGUUGUUGUAGUAAUUGCCAUAAUUGUUAGAGGAGUUACUAGGAAAAGGCCUAGGAACAUAGUUUUCUCUAAAAGCAUUGUUGUUGUCAAAAUUGUUCCUACCAACAAAAUUAACGUCCAAAUUAGCGUUGCUACUCUCAAUCAAGGAAGAUAGUGGCAUGUCACUAGGAUCUAAAGGAGCAUUUCUACUAGCAACCAAAUUCAUCAACUCGUCCAUCUUAGCACUAAGCGAGUUAAUUUCUUCUAUAGCGUGUACCUUUUUGCUAGCAGGUGACCUUUCAGUGUGCCACUGAGAGUAGUUGGUCAUGAUAUUGUCUAGGAGUUUUGUAGCGUCUCCUAACGUGAUUUCCGUGAACGUUCCACCUGAGGCGGAGUCCAAGAUAUUGCGAGAAGCAAAAUUCAAACCAGCGUAAAAGAUUUGUAUAAUCAAGCCAAGAGCGGGACAAUUUCUAAUCAUUAACUUCAUCCUCUCCCAAGAUUGUGCAACGUGUUCAUGAUCAAGUUUCUUGAAAUUCAUGAUAUCGUUACGUAGAGAGAUAAUCUUAGCCGGCGGAAAAUACUUGGAUAUGUAAGCAUCUUUGCACUUAUCCCAAGAAUCGAUACUAUUUUUAGGCAAAGAAGAAAACCAAGUUUUUGCGCGAUCUCGCAAUGAGAAAGGAAAAAGCUUCAACUUAACAACGUCAUUAUCCACAUAUCUUUUCUUUUGCAUAUCGCAAAGUUCAAUGAAGGUAUUGAGAUGAGAUGCGGCAUCUUCACUAGGAAGGCCAGAGAAUUGCUCUUUCAUAACAAGAUUCAGCAAGGCAGCGUUGAUUUCAUACGAUUCCGCACUAGUGGCGGGAGCAACCGGAGUACUAAUAAAAUCAUUAUUAUUAGUACUCGAAAAGUCACAAAGUUUGGUGUUUUCAGCCAUGAUGACCUCAACAAACCAACAAGAACACAAGCAAGCAAGAAAACUGACAAAGGAAAACGGCAAAAGGCAAAAGAAAACGGAAAAGGAGAAAGGCAAAAGAAAACGGCAAAGGAGAAAGGCAAAUGAAAACGGCAAAUGUGAAGUGGGGAAGAGGAAAAAGAGAGGCAACUCGCAAAAAAGGUAAAUGCAAGAGAUGAGUUUGUGACACCUACUUGGAUAGAUCUUGACUUGAUCUCUCUCCCCGGCAACGGCGCCAGAAAUACUUCUGCUACGGCAACAAAAGUCCUUUCAACGGCGCCAGAAAUAAGCGUGUUGACGGGAGACUAUUCAAGCGAUCCUCCCCUGCAACGGCGCCAUGCAUCCUUCUGCUACGGGCUACGCCUUUAGGGACUUCCUUGGCAAAUAUGCAAAGCAUUCCCCCGUGGCCUUGGAGCCUUGCGUUGGUGUUCCCUCGAAGCGGAAAGGGUGAUGUAGCACAGCGGCGGUAAGUAUUUCCCUCAGUUUUGAGAACCAAGGUAUCGAUCCAGUGGGAGGAUCGCGUCAAGUCACAAGUACCUGCACAAACACAAAGAGCUUGCACCCAACGCUAUGAAGGGGUUGUCAAUCCCUUAUAGAUUGUUUGCAAAGUGAGAACUGAAAGCAAGAAGUAAACAAAGCAAAGUAAAAGUGAAAGUGGAGACGAUAGUUGUGAAUAGACCCGGGGGCCGUAGUGUUCACUAGUGGCUUAUCUCAUGAAAGCAAGUAGACGGUGGGUGAACGAAUUACUAUGGAGCAAUUGAUAGAACCGCGCAAAGUCAUGACGUUAUCUAUGGCAAUGAUUAUAUCUAUAGGCAUCACGUCCAAAACAAGUAGACCGAUACUUUCUGCAUCUACUACUAUUACUCCACACGUCGACCGCUAUCCACCAUGCAUCUAGUGUAUUAAGUUCAUAAGAACAGAGUAACGCCUUAAGCAAGAUGACAUGAUGUAGAUGGACAAUCUCAUAUCUAUGAUAAAAGCCCAUCUUGUUACCCUUGAUGGCAACAACACGAUGUGUGCCUUGCUACCCCUUCUGUCACUGGGAAAGAUCACCACACGGUAUGAACCCAAAACCAAGCACUUCUCCCAUUGCAAGAAUCAUAGAUCUAGUUGGCCAAACAAAACCCAAGACUCAGAGAGACUUACAAGGAUAUCAAAUCAUGCAUAUAAGAAAUCAGCAAAGACUCAAAUAUAAAUCAUAGAUAAUCUGAUCACAAAUCCACAAUUCAUCGGAUCUCGACAAACACACCGCCAAAGAGGAUUACAUCGGAUAGAUCUCCAUGAAGAACAUGGAGAACUUUGUAUUGAAGAUCCAAGAGAGAGAAGAAGCCAUCUAGCUACUAACUACGGACCCGUAGGUCUGAAGUGAACUACUCACGAGUCAUUGGAGGGGCGAUGAUGUUGAUGUAGAAGCCCUCCAACUCCAAAGUCCCCUCCGGCAGGGCACCGGGAAGGGUCUCCAGAUGAGAUCUCGCGGAAACGGAAGCUUGCGGCGGCGGAAAAGUAUUUUCGAGGAGAUGAGAUCUCGCGGAAACGGCAGCUUGUGGCGGCGGAAAAGUGUUUUCAUGGAUGCCCUGAUUUUUUCUGGGAUUUUAGGGAAUAUAUAGGCGAAAGAGCUAGGGCAGGGGAGCUCAAGGGGGCCACAAGCCUGGUAGCCGCCGGCCCCCUGGUGGCGGCUACAGGGCUUGUAGGCCCCCUGUGGCGCUCGUGCCUUGGCCCUCAAGUCCCCCGAUCUUCUUCUGUUUUGGAAAAUUUUAUUUCGGGGAUUUUAUUCCGUUUGGACUCCGUUCCAAAAUCAGAUCUGAAAAGAGUCAAAAACACAGAAAAAACAGGAACUGACACUUGGCACUGAAUUAAUAAGUUAGUCCCAAAAAAGAUAUAGAAGGUAUAUAAAACAUCCAAAGUUGACAAGAUAACACCAUGAAACUAUCAAAAAUUAUAGAUACGUUUGAGACGUAUCAUUGCUGCUCUAAUGAAGAAACCCAAGAUUGAACCCAAACCGAGACUAAGUGUUUCUGUUAUGAGGGGAACGGUCACUAAGGCGGAGCUACCCUAGAUACUUGGUAGAUGAGAAAGCUCUCGAAGUUAACAGAAGUAUAUUUGAUAUAUAUGAUAUUGAUGUGUACUUUACUAGUACUCCUAGUAGCACAAGGGUAUUAGAUACCAGUUCGAUUGAUAAGUGAUUAGUAACUCGAAAUAAAAGCUACGGAAUAAACAGAGACUAGCUAAAGGCGAGGUGACGAUAAGUGUUGGAAGUGUUUCCAAGGUUGAUGUGAUCAAACAUUGCACGCUCGCUCUACCAUCGGGAUUGGUGUUAAACCUAAAUAAUUGUUAUUUGGUGUUUGCGUUGAGCAUGAGCAUGAUUUGAUCGUGUUUAUUGCAAUACGAUUAUUCAUGUAAAGAGAAUAAUGGUUAUUCUAUUUGCUUGAAAAAUUACCUUCAUUGGUUUGUAGAAUCUCGAUCGUAGUGUUACACAUGUUCAUAAUAUUGGUGCCAAAAGAUACAAAAUAAUAAUGAUAGUACCACUUACUUGUGGCAGUGCCGCUUGAGUCAUGGUGGUGUAAAAUGCAUGAAGAAGCUCCAUGCUGAUGGAUCUUUGUACUCACUCAUUUUUGAAACGUUUGAGAUAUGCAAACCAUACCUGUUGGUACAAACGCAUGAAGAAACUCCAUGCAGAUGGAUCGUUUGGACUCUCUUGAUUUUGAAUCACUUGAGACAUGCAAAAUAAUACCACAUGGAACAAGAAAGUAACUUGUUGGAUGCAAUACAUUUUUUAUGUGUGCAGACCAAUGAGUACUGAGGCACGCAAUGGAUAUAGUUAUGUUCUUACUCACUGACGAUUUGAGUAGAUAAAGGAGUAUUUACUUAAUGAAUCACAAGUCUGAAAUAUUAAAAAGUUCAAAGCUAUUUCAGAGUGAAGAUCGUCGUGACAAGAGGAUAAACUAUCUAUGAUAUGAUCAUAGAGAUGAAUAUCUGAGUUGCGAGUUUUUGGUACACAGUUAAGACAAUGUGGAAAUUGUUUCGCAGUUCCUGCCACCUAGAACACCAUAGUGUGAUGGUGUGUCCGAACGUCAUAGCCACACCCUAUUUGAUAUGGUGCAUACUAUGAUGUCUCUUAUUGAAUUACCGCUAUCGUUUAUGGGUUAUGCAUUAGAGACAACCCAUUCACUUUAAAUAGGGCACCGCGUAUUUCCGUUGAGAUGACACAGUAUAGACUAUGGUUUGGAGAAAACUGAGCUGUUGUUUCUUGAAAGUUUGGGACUGCGACGCUUAUAUGAAAAAGUUUCAGUCUGAUAAGCUCGAACCCAAAGCGGAUAAAUGCAUCUUCAUAGGAUAUCCAAAACAAUUGGAUACAUCUCCUAUCUCAGAUCCAGAAGCAAAGUGUUUGUUUCUAGAAAUGGGUCCUUUCUCGAGGAAAGGUUUCUCUCGAAAGAAUUGAGUGGGAGGAUGGUGGAACUUGAUGAGGUUAGUGAACCGUCACUUCAACCAGUGUGUAGCAGGGCGCAGGAAGAUGUUCCUGUGGCGCCUACACCAAUUGAAGUGGAAGAUGAUGAUGGUGAUCAUUAGAACUUCGGAUCAAGUUACUACAAACCUCGUAGGUCGACAAAGGUCGCGUACUACUACAGAGUGAUACGGUUACCCUAUCUUGGAGGUCAUGUUGUUGAACAACAAUGAACCUACGAGUUAUGGAGAAGCAAUGGUGGGCCUGGAUUCCGACAAAUGGCUGGAGGCCAUGAAAUCCGAGAGAGGAUCCAUGUAUAAAACAAAGGGUAGACUUUGGAAGAACUACUUGAUGGUAGUAAGACUAUUAAGUAAAGAUGGAUCUUGAAAAGGAAGACAGACGAUGAUGGUGAUAAGUCACUAUUAAGAAAAGCUCGACUUGUCGCAAAGAUGUUUUCGACAAGAUCAAAGAGUUGACUAUGAUGUGACUUUCUCACUCGUAGCAAUGCUAAAAGUCUGUUGGAAUUAUGUUAGUAGUUGCUGCAUUAUUUGUGAAAUAUUGCACAUAGGAAGUCAAAACAUUGUUUCCUCGACGGUUUCCUUGAGAAAAGAUUGUAUGUGAUACAGUCAGAAGGUUUUGUCGAUCCUAAGGAUACUAACAAGUAUGCAAGCUCCAGCAAUCCUUUUAUGGACUGGUGCAAGCAUCUCGGAGUUGGAAUAUACGCUUUGAUGAGAUGAUCAAAGCUUUUGGGUUUGUACAAGGUAUAUGAGAAACUUGUAUUUGCAAAGAAGUGAGUGGGAACACUAUAGAAUUUCUGAUAAGUAUAUGUGGUUGACAUAUUGUUGAUCGGAAGUAAUGUAGAAUUUCUGUAAAUCAUAAAGGUUGUUUGAAAGGGUUUUUUCAAAGGAAGACCUGGAAAGAGCUACUUGAACAAUGAGCAUCAAGAUCUAUGGAGAUAGAUCAAAAUGUUGAACAGAACUUUCAAAUGAAAUGCAUGCCUUGACAAGUUUUUGAAGGAGUUCAAAAUAGAUCAGCAACGAAGGAGUUCUUGGCUGUGUUGUAAGGUGUGAAUUUGAGUAAGACUCAAAAGCCCGGCCACGGCAGAAGAAAGAGAAAGGACAAAGGUCGUCUCCUAUGCCUUAGCCAUAGACUCUAAAGUAUGACAUGUUGUGUGCCGCACCUAAUGUGUGCAUUGCCACAAGCCUGUUAAGAGGUACAGAGAGUGAUACAAGAUUGAAUCAUUGAACAACGGUCAAAGUUAUCCUUAGUAACUAAUGGACUAAGAAAUUUUUCUCGACUAUGGAGGUGGUUAAAGAGUUCGUCGUAAAGGGUUACAUCGAUGCAAGCUUUGACACUAAUCCGAAUAACUAUGAGUAGUAAAACGGAUUCGUAUAGUAGAGUAGAUAUUUGGAGUAUUUCCGAAUAGCACAUAGUAGCAACAUCUAUAAGAUGACAUAAAGAUUUGUAAAGCACACACGGAUCUGAAAGAUUCAGAACCGUUGACUAAAACCUCUCUCACGAGCAAGACGUGAUCAGACCCCAGAACCAUAUAGGUGUUGGACUCGUUGAAAUCACAUGGUGAUGUGAACUAGAUUAUUGACUCUAGUGCAAGUGGGAGACUGUUGGAAAUAUGCCCUAGAAGCAAUAAUAAAUUGCUUAUUAUUAUAUUUCCUUAUUCAUAAUAAUCAUUUAUUAUCCAUGCUAGAAUUGUAUUGAUUGGAACCUCAAAUACAUGUGUGGAUACAUAGACAACACACUGUCCCUAGUGAGCCUCUAGUUGACUAGUUCGUUGAUCAAAGAUGGUCAAGAUUUCCUGGCCAUAGGCAAGUGUUGUCACUUGAUAACGGGAUAACAUCAUUAGGAGAAUGAUGUGAUGGACAAGACCCAAACUAUAAACGUAGCAUAUGAUCGUGUCAGUUUCUUGCUAUUGUUUUCUGCAUGUCAAUGUAUCUGUUCCUAUGACCAUGAGAUCAUGCAACUCCCGGAUACUGGAGGAAUACCUUGUGUGUAUCAAACGUCGCAACGUAACUGGUGACUAUAAAGGUGCUCUACAAGUAUCUCCGAAGGUGUCUGUUGGGUUGGCAUGGAUCAAGACUGGGGUUUGUCACUCCGUGUGACAGAGAGGUACCUCAGGACCCACUCGGUAAUACAACAUCACAACAAGCCUUGCAAGCAAUGUGACUAAUGAGUUAGUUACGGAAUCUUGUAUUACGUAACGAGUAAAGAGACUUGCCACUAACGAGAUUGAACUAGGUAUGAAGAUACCGACGAUCGAAUCUCGGGUAGAUAACAUACCGAAGGACAAAGGGAACAUCAUACGGGAUUAACUGAAUCCUUGACAUAGAGGUUCAACCGAUAAGAUCUUUGUAGAAUAUGUAGGAUCCAAUAUGGGCAUCUAGGUCCCGCUAUUGUAUAUUGAUCGGAGAGUGUUUCAGGUCAUGUCUGCCUAGUUCUCGAACCCGCAGGGUCUGCACACUUAAGGUUCGGUGACGUUUCGGUAUAGUUGAGUUAUAGGUGUUGGUAACUGAAAGUUGUUCGGAGUCCAAGAAUGAGAUCCAGGACAUCACGAGGAGCUCCGGAAUGGUCCGGAGGUAAAGAUUAAUAUAUAGGAAGUCCUGUUUUGGUCACCGAAAAAGUUUUGGGCUCAUCGGUAGUGUACCGGGAGUGCCGGGAGGGGUGCCGGGGACCAUCGGGAGGGGUAUCACGCCCCAAGGGGUCUCAUGGGCUAUGGGAAGAGAUAAACCAGCCCCUAGUGGGCUGGAAUAAGUUCCCACUAAGGCCCAUAAGGUUUGAGAAGGAAAAAACACAAGGUGGAAAGAGUUUCCAAGUGGGAAGGUGGAAUUUGGAGUAGGACUCCUCCACCUCCAAUUUCGGCCAAACCUUGAGGUUUUGAGGCUGCCUCCUCCCCUCCCUCCCUCCUAUAUAUAGUGGUAAUUUAGGUCUGAUUUGAGACAACUUUACCACGUGCAACUCAAACCUACACCUCGUAGUUCUUCAUCUAGAUUAGAUUUCUGCGGAGCUCCGGCGGAGCCCUGCAGGAAUAGAUCAUCACCAACACUGGCGCGCCGUCACGCUGCCGGAGAACUCAUCUACUUCUUCGUCUCUCUUGCUAGAUCAAGAAGGCCGAGAUCGUCAUUGAGCUGUACGUGUGUUGAACGCGGAGGUGUCGUCCGUUCGGCGCUAGAUCGGAACGGAUCGUGGGACGGUUUGAGGGAUGGAUGGUGAAGACGUAUCACUACAUCAACCGCGUUUCUUAACGCUUCCCGUUGAGCGAUCUACAAGGGUACGUAGAUCUAAUCUCCUCUCGUAGAUGAACAUCACCAUGAUAGAUCUUCGUGUGCGUAUGAAUUUUUUUGUUUCCCAUGCAACGUUCCCCACGUAAUAUAUAAUUACGAUAAUAAGAUAUAUGAGUUAAAAAAAUAUAACUGAUUUCUAAUUAUUUAGAUUAGGAAAUAAAAUAAUUUUUCAAUGUUAAGUUAUGGGUAAAAGUUGGACACAUAGAGAUGCUACAGAUUUAUAUGUGGCACAAUGAGCUCAUGAAUUAUGUAUUAAUGUAAUUUAGCAAUUUAGUUAUUUUAGUUUGUAUUUUAUUAUUAAAGAUUCCAAAUAGUAUUGGAAGACCGAAAAAUAUAUUAAAGAGACACUCAUACAACUCAUAUAUUAAAAAAACCCAGCUCAAAACUAAAUUCUAUUCAUACAACUCGAGAUAUUUGGUAAUGUUUAUAAAACAAAAUGUUCAGGCUACUCUUCUUAUCACUGUUUGUUAUGUAUGUGUCUUUUACACAUUAAUAUACAUUGAAAGUGUGCAUGCAUUUCAAAAUAAUAGUUUAUUUUACUAAAAAAACAAAUAUGAAAUAUUUUUAUAUUUAAAGCAAAGGCUAUUUACAAAAAAAUCAUGUAUUUACAAAAAAGUAGCAAAGAAAGAAAAUAAAAAUUAAAACAUUUAAAAUGAUUUUAGAGGAGAUUAUAUGUGUUAUUGUUAAAAAAUAUUAUCUCUAAUCAUUUGCCAUAUGCUUUAUUUUAUUUUUCCUUUUUCUACCAAUUGCAUAUUUUGUUAAAUACAUGAAUACCUAGGUGUGUUCAUAAAUGGUCCAGAUCCUUGGAAUCAUCGACUCCCAUCCCUCCGUCCAAAAUGUUGCUCUUUGCAAAAAAUAGCGCUAGAAAAACAUGUUUAGUAGGCAGCUCCGCUCCAGAUUCACGAGAGGGAUAGGCGGGGAGACACAAGCAGUGCCAAUGGCAGGGGGGUCUAGCCAGAGGGUUGGGGGCCAAUGGCAGGUGGAUCUAGCCAGAGGUUUGGAGGAGAGAUGUCUACUUGAACCGCCUUUCCCUUGUCGGUGGCAGUUUCUUUGUAAAUCUUAUCAACUCUGUGAUUUUAAAGAUUUGAGAUCCAAAAAUAGCCGCUCUGCACAAUUUCACCGUAGCCCACUCCACUUUGCAUUUUCAGCUUUGCGGAGCUCGAGAGUUUGGCGCUGGCUCCGGGAGCGGAGAGAAUUCGAAGAUGCUCCUAGUUUGCUAGAUAUGAAAAUCAUUUUCUUGAUGUAUUAACAUCACCUUUUAAGACAAAUGAACAUGUGAAUCAACCUGUGAUUAGAUAGUUAGAGGAACAGUGGUAUUUCCAGCCCAUCAGGGUUCAAGUCCUGAUGCUCGCAUUAUUUCUGAAUUUAUUUCAAGAUUUCCGGAUAUGUCAGCUUAGUCUCUCGAAGGCAUUCAUAGGGAUAUAAUAUAUGUGUGUGCGUUUAUAAAAAUGACUGUAUACGCGUAUAUAUAAGCGCUCGUGUCUAUACCGUGUUAAAAAAAUACAAACCAAUAACUAAAGUCUCACAUAGAAGCUCGUGUCAUAAGAACUAGUAAUGUCCAUGUGUUUUUUUUAACACGGUACAGGCGCAAACGUUAAUACACACGCACAUACACUCACUUCUAUGAACGCAUACAUGCAUGCUCUAUCCCUAUGAGCAUCUCCGAGAGACUGAACCGGCAUAUUAUCUUAAAUUUUAAGAAAGUCAUCAGUAACAGAAAUGUCUUCUUCCACUGAAUGCGCAUCGCUAAAAAUCCUGAAAUAAAUUCAGUAAUAAAUAUGAGCACCAAGAUUUAAACUCUGAUAGGCUAGGGAUCCCUCUAAGUAUCCAACCACAGGUUGGUUCGCGGUUUGUAUUCCUUUUUGACAAAAAGAAAUACGUGGAUGUUUUUUCUACGGCGCAUGAGCAAUUUACCCGGAAACGAAUCAACAUCAUUUUCUUUCCAUGCCAUAAACAUAUCUUUCUGGAAAUAGACGAGCAUUCCUUUGUGGAAACAUUUGAACGCAUUGGAACACUUUCUUUUACCAAUGCAUGAGCGCAACAGCGGGCCGUGCAAUGUGCGGCCCAUGAGGACACGGAAAAAGCCCAGAAGAGAGAGAUCAGAUCAUAUGCUCCCCGUUGCGGCCCACGCACACACGGAGAAGAGAGAGAGAGAGAGAGAGAGGUGGGUAGGCGGCGAGCGUGCGACACCCUCCCCCAUCCCCUCGUCCGCUCCGCCGCCGGUCGGUCGGUCGGUCGCCUUCUCGCCGGCCGGCGCGAUGGGAGGCGACGCGCCGCCCAUGAAGAGGCCCAAGCUGGAGAAGGAUGACGGCUGGUCCCGCCACCCUUCAGCCGCCAACGGCUCCAGGCCCGCCAGCGAUGCGCCGCCGCCGCCGCCGGCCGGGGAGGACGAGGAGGAGCUCCCGGAGGAGGCCGUGCUCGCGCUCAUAGACCACCACGAGCGCGAGGUCGAGCGCUACAAGCUCAAGGUGCAUCUCCCCUCCCCCAGUCCCGUUCCCCCCUUCGGUUCUUGGUGGUGAAUGAACGAUCGAUCCUCGCGUCCGUCCGCAGCUGGAGGCCGCCGAGAGGAAGCUGGCCGAGACGCGGUCGAGGCUCGCCCAGCACCGAGGCCGCGGUCCCGAUCGGAACCAUCCGCCGCCGCCGCCACCAGCCGUGCAGAAGGCCGCCGCGCCCGAUCGCAGGACGCCGCCUCCGACCCAGAGGGAGUCCCCCAAGCCGUCGGCGCCGAGCCACAAGGCCCCCGCGCCGCAGACCAGGCCGCAGCUCGUCAUCCCGGGGGCAGGCCACAGCCGUCCGGCCCCGCGGCCCUCUUUACCCAUACCGAAGAAGUCUGCCUCCCCGGCAUCAUCGUCGUCGACCUUGGGGCAGGCGCCGCAGAGGAAGGCGGAGAAGAAACCCAAGAGAGAGAUUGGUACUUCCCACGGCUCGUCCAUUCGAGUUUACCCGAUAGAAUUCGAUCUCCGUCGAUAUGCAUGAUGCAAGCCUUGUUCUGUUUUUUUCCGGUUUUGCAGUGCAGAGAGAACAUCAGAACUUGAUUCAGAGCAUCAAGAAGUCGUCUGCGCCAACGACGCUUAAGUUCUACGGCGGAACUCUGGUCUCCAGCCAGCACAAGAGGAAGCUUAGGUGUCUUGAGCUGUGCCCUGCUGAUGACCAGCUUGUCGUUACAAGGUACUAGUAUGCUUGACUGGCUAUAAUAAAUAUAGCAGCAACUUUUUUUUGUACUAUCAAAUACAGUACCAAAUACGUGACAUUAAUGCGCUGACGAAGAAAACUAAAUUUGUCAAAUUCUUCCUCAUUUACUGAAGAAACUUGGUCAAAAAGCUGCCCCUGACCAGAAAAAAGGAUGAAUGAGAAUGAUGCAGGCUAGUUACCCGGACCGAAACACCAAUAAGUCCUGAUCUUGUUUAAUGCAUUGGUGUCUAAUGUUAUCCAAGGUAUAGUCAUGAACUGUGAANNNNNNNNNNNNNNNNNNNNNNNNNNUAAUGAACUGUGAAAGAGUGUUACAAGGUCAAAACCGUUGUUGACAUGGCUACGCUUAUUUGCUUAGGGAUUUGGUUGAUUUUUGGUCAAUUAUUCAGCUCCACGUAUAUGUUGCAGAGUAAACUAUGUAACCAAAUAUAAUAACUGUGACAUGUGUUAUGUUUUCUUAACUUCUGCUCGAUGUAGAACUUCGGUCUAAUGUUUUUUUUUUUGUUAUGCAGUGCAUUGGAUGGAAUGGUUGCUCUGUGGCAAGUACGGUCAAGUGGGUAAGCCUCAUUUCCUCUUUUCUCUUCACGACAUAUCUUAUUUUUAUUUCUGGGUACUGUUACUUGGCUCCCAAAACAUAUGGGAGAUAGGGUUACUUGUUUCGACUUGUAACGGAAAAUAAAAUUAUAAUAAGUGUGUGCCACCAUUAUAGUUGCAAUGAAGUCAAGAGAAGUACUAUGUUUGCUUGGAGAUAGAAGAUGCAUUUGCUAAAAUUAAAAGCCAUAAUUUCUAUAUGCCUUCAUGCAGACUAGGCAGUAGUUAGUGAAAGUUAUGCCAUAUAAUAUUGCUUUUGCUGCCAACAGGAGCCAUAGGCAAUGGUUUGUACUCCCCACAUGGUCAUAUUGAUGCUAAGCUAGCAUAAAUACAUGCCAGUGUCUGUAUUGUGCAUGCAGAUUCUGUAUUUUAUUUAUGAAGCUCUCAUGCUAUGUUUUUAUGAAGCUCACAUGCUUUUAUUGCAGAAUUUAGAUAUUUAGCAUCUGUUUGCGUGCUUUAUUCCUUGGUACAAAAGCCAGGUGUGUUGGCUGAUGCUCUCUUGCAUUGUUUGUGCCCCGCCUCACAUCACACAUUCACUACACCGAGAUAUUAAACCCAACAUCUUAGGUUUGUAUCAUAAGGUACAUCCAGUGAGCUAGUGGCUGGCUGGCUGCCAAGAAUCUAUCAACAUUUUUACCAUUUGACAUAAGAAACACUGACAUGGCAUUAUAGCCAAAAUUUCCUAAUCACUCCUUCAAAGUGCCAACGAAGCGGCAUCCUAUAUACUUAGAUUUAACUCCAACGAAAUAUGGAUAUUCACGUGACACACACCCGUAGCUAAUGUCAGAAGUUGCCCCACUUGCUAGCCCACAAUGAUAAGUGAAAAACUUUGGCAACUGCUGCAAACUGCAACUGAGCUAAUGAGACCCUUGGUACAGUGUCAUUUGUUCCAGUAACAGAGUGCGUACAUAGAAAACUGACACAUGUACAAGGCUAUGAACUGGGUACAUGAAUAAGAGCAUCUCCAACAGCCGCGCUUCGCGCCGCACCCAAAAAAUGCGUUUGCCGCGCGCGCUUCGGCUGGUAUAGCGCGGGGUUAGGCGCUGGCUCCAGCAGCCGCUCUAUAAUGCAGCGCGCGCGCGCCGCUCCAGCAGUGCCCAAAAAUGCAGCGCGCGCAAACCAUUUUUUAAUAAAUAGAUUGCAUUAAAAUAAAAAGCAUACAAAGUUAUUUUACAUAGAUUGCAACUUGAUAGGUAGUUCGAAAACAUAGAUAGAUAAUUCGGAACUAGAUAGUUCGAAAACAUAAAAACUUAAUCCCAGUCGCUCCAAUCAUCUGCACCAUCAUCAUCGUCGUUGGUGUCGUCAGAGGUUGACAGCCAGAUGUCGAACCAACACUCGUCUUCUUCAGUGAAGAAGGAGCUCCCGUCUGCAUUGACGAUGUCGGCCUGCGCACUCGCCAAUGCCUUCCGCCGACGCCGGUCCAACCGCUCCUCGCGGCGCCGGCGCGUGUCCUCCUCGCGGCGCCUUGCCCAAUAAUCCUGCUCGUAGGCGACGUCCUCCGGGUGGCGUCGGCGCCACUCCGCCAUGACCCGCUCGUCCUCCUGGGCGACGAGGAGGCGGCGCUGCCGCGCAGUGUGCUCCGCACGGUCUUGUGCGGAGUUUACACGAGGCGGCGGGGCGACGUCUAACGCCUGCUGGAGCGUGUAGACGUCCUGGAAGUUCAUUUGGCGGCGCGGCCUGCCUAGGCGCCACGCCGCCGCGUCGAACGCGCGGGCGGCCUCGUGCGCCGUGUCGUACGUGCCGAGGCUAAGCCGGAGAUCGCCGGAGCGUAUCUCGGCGUAGAACCCGCCGUUGGGGCGCUCGCGGAUGCCGCGGUAACCCGACGCAGAACGGCGGCAUGGUGGCGCGUCGGGAGCAGGGGCGCUGGAGCGGUGGCGGCGCGAGAGGCAGAGGGAGAGAGAGAGUGGAGCGGUGGCGGCGCGAGGGAGCGGCAAAGCUGCGGUUUUAUAGGCGCGCGCGAGCUGCCGCCUUUUCGCGCGCGCGCAACCGGUUACCGCGCGCGCUGUUUUCCCGCCGCCGCUGGAGCACGCCAUUCCGUCCCGCGCGCACUAAAAUGGCGGUUUACCGCGCGCGCGCCCCCUUUUCGUGCGUCUGUUGGAGAUGCUCUAACUACAAGGGUUCCCUAGACAUGAGGUAUGGCGACAUUCAACUACAAUGACCAAAUGAAUAAUCUGCAGAUGAUGAAGUGUAGUGAAGUAAAAUAAAUAAAUAACAGUAACUAGAGAACAUUGAUAUCCAAUGCAGCAAGGGGAAAGUAAAUUGAGAUAUAGAUAAAAGUAAUAGAUGACCUAAAUGCAAUCAAAGAAAGGGUGAUCCUAGAUAUGGAUAAAAGAAAGGAUGAUCAAUGCGGAAAGAUGACUAUGAACUGGUAAUAUUUUGUUGUAGCAAUAUGAAAUUAGCAAGCUUCUGAUUUUUAUUUUAUGUAUUUCCUACUUAUGCAUUGCCUUCUGUGAUAGCAGUAGUUUCGCAAAAGCUGACACUAUGGUGUUCAUCACUUGAAACGUUGACACUAUUUCCUACUUAUGCAUUGCCUUCUGCAAUAGCAGUAUUUCGCAAAAGUUUGACACUAUGGUGUUCAUCACUUGAAACGUUGACACUAUUUCCUACUUAUGCAUUGCCUUCUGCAAUAGCAGUAUUUUCGCAAAAGUUGACACUAUGGUGUUCAUUGGCACUUGAAAAGUUGACACUAUUUCCUACUUAUGCAUUGCCUUCUGCAAUAGCAGUAUUUCGCAAAAGUUUGACACUAUGGUGUUCAUUGGCACUUGAAAAGUUGACACUAUUUCCUACUUAUGCAUUGCCUUCUGCAAUAGCAGUAUUUUCGCAAAAGUUGACACUGGUGUUCAUCACUUGAAACGUUGCACGGGAAACCGGUGUGUGUAACCUACGAUACUAUGGAGAAUUAAUUCAUAUGGUGCUGGAGCUGCAUGUUUUUUUCGUUUUACUUUAAGCAUGUUUUCAAUUAUAAUAUUUGUACUUGCAGACCAUCUAUCUCCUUGCUUAGCACUACAAAUUGCUUCUCUUCAAAGCAAAGAUGGCCUGAGGAUGUAGCUUGGCAUCCGGAUGGUGACACAAUUUUUGCUGUAUAUACUGCUGAUGGUGGUGACACACAGGUUUCAAUGAUGAAUCUUAACACAUCAGGACAAGUAAGAACUCUGUUUAAACUUUAAACCUUGAAGUAGCACAGCAUAUUCCAUCUAUUAUCAUCCAUUACUGGGUUUUGUAGUUGUUAUAAAACAACACUGUUACAGUGAACUGGAUUGGUUUCAUAGGAAGUUCAGAUACAGCAAAUCUCAUUUUAGGUAGAAACACUUGCAUAUGAAGGAGCGUUUUCAUACCAAAAUUUUGCCCUCUGCAUGGUUUUGACUCACAAUAUUUUGUUAUUUUAAAUUAAAUCAGGUAAGGUAGGAAUUGGUAGGUGCCCUUAAGUUAUUCCUGUUUUCAUAUCCACCAAAUACCUUGAGUUUCUACUUCUCCUUUGUGCCUGGUGCAAUAAUAGUACCUGAUUUAUCCACAGAUAAAUCGAAUUCACAACCAUGGCUAUCAAAUUAGGUCUUAUCAAACGACCAACUAAAAUAGUUCUGUUAGUGUGAUUAUGUUAUCUAUGGAUGCAUCAAUGACCCAAUGUGAUCUGUAGUUAUGUUAUGUAAAAUCUUGCAAGAACCCACGCUUUUAUGUUGUUUCUUUUUGAUAAGUAACAGAUGGUUUACUUUCGACAUUAAAAUAUUCUUUCCCUUUAAACAGAAGAAAGUUACUUACCUGCAAGCGAAGCCUCAUACUAAGGGAAUCAUAAACAACAUAAAUUUCAUGCCCUGGUCUGAUACAUGCUUUAUGACCGGUGGAAGUGACCAUGCUGUCAUGCUCUGGCAAGAGAAAGAUGAUUCAUGGAACUUCAAGAAAGUGCACAGGGAUCAGCAUUCUUCUGGUGUCAUGGGUGUUGUCGGAUUGCAACAGAGAAAAACAAUAAUAUCAGUCGGACUUGACAAGAGGAUAAUAUCAUAUGAUGUUGCAACUGAAAGGACAGAGUACAAGAACCUAAUUGAUAGCAAAUGCUUGAGCGUAUUACUUAAUCCAAGCGAUUUCAACCUAUACAUGGUACAAACAGGGUAAGUGGACUUGUAAUGUUGCUUCUGAUUUUUGGGUUCCGUUUCACACCUAAACCUCAUUGGCAUAAAAUCCUUCAUAUGUUUGUGUACAAAACAAAUGUCCUUGUAUGUUUCUCAUUUGCAGUCCUGGGUGCAAUCGUUUCCAUCCGUGCCUUUUGGGAGUCGGUGCUGCAAGCUAAACCUGUUUUGUUUCUAACAACAGGUCGCCAGGCAGGCAGCUUCGCUUAUUUGACAUCAGGCUUAGGCAGACCGAGGUUCACGCGAUCGGUUGGAAGCAAACGAGCAGCGAGUCCCAGUCAGCCCUUGUAAACCAGUCAUGGUCUCCCGACGGCUGGUACCUGUCCUCUGGGUCAGCAGACCCUGUGAUCCAUAUCUUCGACAUAAGGUACCAGGGCCAGAAGCCCUGCCAGUCAGUGCAGGCGCACCAGAAGCGGGUCUUUAAGGCCAUUUGGCACCAGACCUUCCCAGUUUUGACCUCCAUCUCGUCGGACCUCAACAUCGCGAUCCACAAAUACUGAUGGAAACAGCCACCUGUGGAUUCUUGGCCUGGCGGAUCAUCACCAUUUUUGUUGCGAGCUCGCGAAAGACGGCGCGUCAAUGCCCUAGGAAAUUUCUUGGUCCACGGGAAUGGGAUGCAUCAGUGGAGCUCCAGACGAGAGGCCCCAACGACAUCUGCACUUUUUGAUGCAUCCGCAGGCCUCCCUGGUCGAAUGUUUUGCCCGUUGCUGCCUGUGGAGAAGUAGUACGUGCGUCGAAAACUGUUCCGGAACCAUUUCCUUUCCUCUCCUUAGCAUUUUAUUUUUGUUUGUUGGCAAUGUAAGUCUUGGUUCAGUUGGUACUGUGCGUUGCAAUUUACAAGUGUCUGGAGAUGUGAUGUCCAAAGUGACAGUCUCAGUUGAAAGAAACGUGUCCACCUGCUGUCAGCCCAAAAACUUGUGUGGUCUGAAUCUCAUACUCUAUCAGUGGUUAGUGAGUUAGUUGUCCAGCAGAACUUGACAGGUGGCGUGCUGCAUUAUUUGAGUUUUUUUUUAUCGUUUGUAUGUUUUUCAACUAUAUAUGGACACGUAGACGUGUAUCACGGUGGCUCCAGAUGUGCCAACCUGUUUGCUGAAUAAACAGGCACGUUGCCUUCUGUUUGUCUGACGUGGCACGUUGGCCGUCUCUUCUGGCUUGCAUUUGUUCCAUCAAGCUCAUAUAGGAUCCCAGUAUGUAAAUUCUGAAAUAUAAUUGCCAGAGCAGAAAAUAUACCCUGCUAAGCUCAUCUAGACCAACUACAUUUAUUUUGGGACAAGCUCAUCUAGACCAACGACAUUUAUUUUGGGACGGAGGGAGUAAUAGUUUCAUGGAGGACCCCGUUGUAAGUAGUGAUCUAAAGGAUCUUAUAUUAGUUUACUAACAUUUUAUCACAAGUUAAUAAACAGGAUCGGUGACAUAUUUCUUUAAAAAAAUGACUAAAAUCUCUCUCACACACACACAUGCACACGCCCCCGUGCGCGCACACACAAAGCAAUCGGAAAAUAAUUCUAGUCGAGGCUGAUCACUAGCAAUUCGGCAUCUGAAAUGCCCAAGCCCAACAAACACAAAUUUUCCAACGCAUGCGGUGUCGAAUUUAUGCAUUUGAUCAUAAAUUCUUGUUAUUACGUUUGAAAGGGCGAGUGGGAAUCUGGUGGCGAUAGCAACGGUUUCUGAGAGAGGCUACUCCAUCCGCACAUUUGUUAUCGGCAUCCAUCCCCUGAUGACUCCCUGUGGAUUCGCAUGGGACCUUUGCACCUGCAUUGCAUGGGACACAAGCAUGGCACCUCUCCUCCUCUGGUGUGGGUCACACCACAAUAAACAAAGUUGUUGCUAAAGGUACCAUGCACCAGACCGCAAGCAAGGAAAAUUCUAGAGGCUUCUUCACCAUGGCAUCAAAAAUCAAAAAGUUAAAUUUAACACAAAUGACAAGUGCACUAUAUGUGUGAUUUUUCCUCUUCUGAAUUCUAAAAUAAACCGGUUAGCUUGCUCACCCGCCUCGGCAUAAAAAAGAUCGAGCGGGUCUAUUUCCCGAGGAGUUGUACGGCUAAGUCGACUUUCAAGUACUCCCUCCUUCUCGAAAUUCUUGUCUUAGAUUUGUCUAGACAUGAAUGUAUCUAGUCAUGUUUUAGUAUUUUGAUACAUCCAUUUCUAGACAAACCUAAGACAAGAAUUUUAAGACGGAGGGAGUAGUUAUUACUUCCCACGUCGACAACUCAUGAUCAUUCAAUUAAAAAGCCAUUCGCCCGGUCCCUUUCGCAAUCUUUUGUCCCCGUGCGAUGGCCAAAAAUGUUGUCGUUUAUUUCUUUAGUCGAUUCGCUUGAGAAAUCACGUGAUUAUUUCAUUAUCCUUUUUCCAAGGGUAAUAGGUCGACGCCGUCGGAAAUCUCUUUCUUGUGGAUGAAGAAUGUAUAGAGAAAUUCAGAAAAAGUUAUAGUUAUUUGCUUGUGGUGAAUGAACAUUCUUAUCUUUGAGGUCUCACACCUGGCACUUCUAGAAAGAUCUACUACUGCUGUUGUAAAUCAAAGUGAUGUGUCCAAAUAUUAGUCGGCCAAGCGUUCCUACAUAAACCGCCGGCCGAAACAAUACACCAGCCGGUUGGCUUUGGUUGGUUGGUCGCACUCUUCUGCUCCCCAUCCAUCACCACCACCACCUUAUCAUCUUCUCCAUCCAUCAUCGUCAUCCUCGCCACCACCACCGCCACUUCUGCGUGUGAGCACGGCACCAGCGCCGCCGUCGUCGCUCGACAUGGCCACCACUCAAGGUCAGGAGCCACAUGUUCUCCUGCUUCCUUCCUUCUUGCGUGAUUAGUCCAUGGUUUCUUCUUGUGGCGGGAAGGAUUGGGGACAUGAUGGAGAAAUUAAGCUUGCUUGCGAAUUGUUUGGGCAGAGGCGGAGAAGACCAGCGUCGUCGUCAAGGCGGAGGAGGAGCCUUCCCCCACGGCCACGGCGGCGGCGCCGGCAGAGGAGAAGGCGAGCGUUAAGGCCGUGGAGGAGCCUUCCCCGGCGGCUGCAGCGGCGGUGGCGGAGGGGCAGCGGCCGCAGCCUGCGGCUACGGCGGCGCGCAGGGCGGGUGCUCCGGCCAGCCCCUUCGACUUCUCCACCAUGAUGAACUUGCUCAACG